rnacentral:lncRNA from 1 species
UAAUGAGGACAUCCUCCACUAUUACCCGUUGGCAAAGACGCAAUUGGCCCAGUUCGCCCAAUUGUAGUCGGACGACGACCGUGUGAGCCUUAGAAUUAUCCCACCUCGCUUAACUUGGGAGGAGGAAGCCACUUUAAAAGGGAGAGCCACCCUUUCCCCAUUGGACUAGUCUUUUGGGGCGAUUGGGCCUUUCCCUGAGUUGGGUGUGCAUAAUGAACUGUUGGGCUCCGGGCAACCCUAAUUUGUUAGGCCUCGGCCAACCCCACCUGGGCUGGGUGUAUCAUCUGGUAUCAGAGCUAGGGCCCAUUUUAAGAAGGUGGGAAUGAUGAGGACAUCCUCCACUAUUACCCGUUGGCAAAGACGCAAUUGGCCCAAUUGGCCCAAUUGUAGUCAGACGGCGACCGUGUGAGCCUCAGAAUUCUCCCACCUCGCUUAACUUGGGAGAAGGAAGCCACUUUAAAAGGGAGAGCCACCCUUCCCCCAUUGGACUAGUCUUUUGGGACGAUUGAGCCUUUCCCUGAGUUGGGUGUGCAUAAUGAACUGUUGGGCUUCAAGCAACCCUAAUUUAUUGGGCCUCGGCCAACCCCACCUGGGCUGGGUGUAUCAAUUUAUACCCGUCAUUUGUAUCUGGGCGAGACACAAUUGAAGCGAACCACGACACUGACUUUAAUAAUUUACUAUGUGUCUGAUUUAAUUGAAGCCAGAUAAAUCUCAUCUGCUAACAACCCAAAUACUUGAUUAUCAACCCCGCGCACGAUUUCUCUUAGACAAUGCGCGAUUCAGAUUAUUUUGCCCCGAACAUUUUAGUCGUUGAGUUCAAAUUAAUUUGCCCGGGAUAAAAAUCGUAAGAGUAGGUCGACCUUCCAAAUUCGUACUCUCCUAAUUUAUAACUUUUAAACGGACACACGACUCAACAUAUCACGAAAUAAAUGCGUGAUAUCGGUGCGGCAUCGUGAGUGCGAUCCUUCCGGAAGCGACGUCUCACAUCGCACAUGUGGGCGAGAAGCUGUGUGCAUUGUUCUUUUCGGAUAGCGCAUGGCUCCAAAUUUUACAUAAAAUCAGGAGUCUUCUGAUUUUCAUAUUCACUUAUGCGCGUGAUCUGAACGGUUCAAAAUUCGUCAGCUACGAAGAUUCGAUAAUCCAAAGGCUUCAUGAAUCCUUUUUAAUUGAGUAGAUUAUCAAAAUGGAAACGGCACCAAACUCGAACUUUUGCGAGAUGAUUAAAAUUUAGUGUCCACUUUAUAUACUGAUAUCCCGCGCUUAAAUCCAUAAUCGCUGUUUACGGGAGAUAACACCUGGGGUGUUACAUUUUCUAUUUCUUUUCUCUAGGGUUUCCAAUUCCAAAUUCAAAUUAGGUUUCAAAUUCAUAUGAAUUCAAACAUGUGCAACACUUCAAAGAAUAAAUAAGCUCAACAUGAUGCAACAUGUCAUGACUCAUAAUAUUUUGGCAAAAAAAUAAAUAAUUAAAUCCCCCUAACUUUAAGUCAAUUCUACUUAAAAGGAAGAGAUGGAGAGAGAGAGACAAAUCUAGAGAUAGAUAGAAACUAGAGAGAGAAGAGUAACACAUGAAUUUGGGUGAUAAAUAGAAACAAAUUUUAUACCCCAAAUUCAGGGUGUUACAGCGUCCCAUUCCACCCUUGUGGUAGCACUGUUUUCCCGGGUGGUUCUCCAUGUUCCAAUUAACAUAAUGAUCUUAUCAUGAACAAUAAUUAAAACAACAGUAGAAUUGGAACAUGGUCAUAAUAUAACAUUUAUUUCCCAAAACCAGGUAGAGCAAUAGCAAAUCUACCCAAUUGUUCUUUUGGUUGCAAGGUGGAGGAUAAACAAUACUAGGGAAACCUAUUAGGUCCCAUCAAAUUAACCUAAGCAUGUCACAGUGAAUUAAUAGGAACAUUAUUAGGUAGAGAAAAGUGAUCAAGGGCACAACUUGCCUUAGACUUGAGAUUCUAGGUACCUCACCAAAUUGGUCUUCAGGUGACUCGUGACUUUACUUCUAUGCGUAGCAAUACAUACAAUCAAGCAAAUAAUGGGUAUGGUAAUAUUACACCAAAGCAUAUGAACAAACAACGUAAGAAUAUCCUACGCGUCGCUACGAGAUUGUAGGUUUGAGAACCAUUAAAAUCGGAGCUAAAACAAAGAAUUUAUGGAUAAAAUGAUAUUUUAGGCGUAAUAAAUCUAAUAGAUGGGAUCUAACAGAUAUUGCAUUUAAACUAAGCAGUUAUUAAAUUAAAAUAUUUGAGUUGGUAUUAAUCAUUAACAAUUAUUUAUAAAAUGCGUAGGUUAGAACUAUAAAUUAGAUUAACUAGAUUAUCAAGUUAAUUAACAUUAAUUAAAUAAGUAAUUAAUUAAUUAAAAUGUGUGGCAUAAUUAAAACAAUGUUAUUACUACGUACUCAGAAAUUAAUAUAAACUUAACACAACUUGAAUAGAUUAAAAGGUGACAUGACGCAAUCUGAUUGGUUAGUUAAGUUUGUUAAAGAUGGGAAAAGUUUGUUUACAAAUGCAUGACCUAGCUGUUCCCAACUUAUCAUGAUUGUACCUAUCGUAAAAUUUGUGUUGUAUGUCAAUCUUACAUGUAAAAGGGUAUAUGGUGAUUGUUAUCUAUCAGGUGGGAAGCGUCAAACUUAUCAAGCAGGAAGACCUACCACUAAGUUACCUUCCAAUCAAGACCUUCAAUCACACGUUGAUGUUGGUCAUCUUAGUUUUUUUAUGAUGAACCAGAGAUCUGGCCGAUGAACCGGAAGCACGAUGACGAAGCUCUCGCCGAGCUGGUCACGGCGAUGUUCUGGGUUGCCCCAGAAGAUGAACGAGCACAAAUAAAUUCCUCGCUAGAGUUGUCACUAGAGUUUAGGCGGGAGUAAAACUUAGAUGAGAUGGUCAUAACGGCUUAUGGCCGCGAGCCUAGCUAGCGGCGAGCUACUGUGGCUUGGAUAGCAGCGGUGCUGCAACGAGGCUAUGGAGGAGAUGAGCCUCUCCUGCCCGCUGGGAUGAACGCAACAUCAUCAGAGAUGAAAACUAUGAUGACUACGGGGAAGACGAAGAUGGUCUUUACUAGAGAAGGUUGUUUGCAAUUCCUUUGCUUCUAUGUUGUUGCGGCUGCAUGUAGGGCUGGAAAAUAAGCUCGAGGCUCGGCUCGCGAGCCUCGAGCGAGCCGAGCCAGUAUUUUGAGCUCGUUGCGGUAGCGAGCCGAGCCGGCUCGUUCCGGCUCGCGAGCUUUGCCAAAUUACUUAAUAUGUAGAGUAAUAAUGGAUAUUGGGUAAUUUUAUAGAUAGUCAGUUUGUUUCUUAAUGUUUCAUGAUAAAUAUAUGACAAUUAAUAAUUUAGAUUACUCAUAAUGAUGAAUGAUAUCUAUAUAUUUAUAUUUAUAUACUAAUAAUUCACUAGAUAAUGCAAUUAUAUAUAUCAGGGUGUGGCUUACGAGCCGAGCCGAGCCGGCUCGCGAGCCACCUUCGAGCCGAGCCUGUCUCCCCAGCUCGUGAAAUGGGCGAGCCGAGAGCUCGGCUCGGCUCGUUUCCAGCCCUAGCUGCAUGGAAUGUUACUUAUGUUAGGAUUUCUUCUGCAAACCAUCAUUUCUGAGACAGUUUAAUGGUGAAACAUAUGCAUCAGCUCUAUCUAUCUGAUGUAAUUUUUUUCCACAUUCAUUUGAAACAGUUUGCCCUGUCAUGUUUGAUAGAUUUAAUUCGUUUUUUUAAAUCCUAAUUGGUUUUUUCGCUCCAGAUUUACACAUUUGGUCCAACGUUUAGGGCUGAAAAUUCAAACACUUGAAGGCAUUUGGCUGAACUUUGGUGUACUAGUUUUGCGUAUGUAAAGCAGUUGCACCUUGGCCGUGCCUGCCACCGUGUUAUAUAAUAGUCAUCAACACAUCACAUCAUGUAACAACAGGAUAACUAUCGUUAGCUAUCUUAGGCCGGCACCGUCGCAGGUUGUUAUGAUAUUACAAACGCAUGCUUAUCUAAUUAAUAGAUCAGACUUGAUAUUACAAACACGCAUACGCAUGCAUGUUCAGAUCAAACUAGAUACAUAUACCAGCAGUACCGGCAAUCGAUCAGUGCAAGCAAUGCAUGCCUGCCUACUAACCAGGGUAGCAACCUUAUGUUGGUCUAUCUCACUAGGUAGGAAUGAGUUAAUUUUUAAAAAUAAUUUUUUUUAUCUUCUUUGUUGGUCAUUUUUACUGUAGCCCAGAGGCUUCGCACAUGGGCUAUGCUACAGAGACAGAACUUAUGGAAUUUUUUUGGUAAUGACAACGCAACAUUUGACUCAAGUGGUCAAGGAGUUUUUUUUUCUCGGGAGCAUGGUUGGUGUCACACCCGGUUCUAAGGGGCAGAACCGAGCGCAUCACAUAUGUGUGCCAGGAUCUAUUUCCACACAUAUGUUGACGUCACAAGUGUAAUAUAUCAAAAGAACAAUGCAUAAGAGCGUAAAUAAAGAUUAUAUUAACAUAUUACACUUCGAACAGACAUAAUGUCUUAACCUUUAUUCAUCAAAGUACAGCGAAACAAGGACAUCCAUCCACAGGAAGAUGACCGGGGGUAUCACUAGACUAGCAUCCAUGGAGCUCAGCAUCAUAACUUCAUCUGCAAACUUCUGAUCAAAAUUUAAGCAAGGGUGAGCUGACUUAUGGUCGGGGCUUAGCAAGUGGGGGAAAACUAAUGCAAGUUUAACAAGGCGAGGCUAAGGUUUAGCAGUAAGCAUUUUAGUUGGUCAACAUUUUAUUAACAACACCUGUCUUACUAAUAAGUGUGAAUCCCAUGUAUUCCCAUUAAACAAAGGUAUAAGAGUAUAUCAAAAAUACUUAAGUGAAACCACUUAAGCAAACCAUUGGCAGAUCAUCAGAUCUCGAUUUAUUUCAUCUUCAAGUUUAAUUAUCAUGUGAGGAGUCCAGGCUGCUCUUAACUGUGAGCACGACUGAUAUAUCAGUUUUACACUAUGCAGAGGUGGCACAUCUUUACCCAUGAGUCGCGAUUCCCUUCUAGCCCGGGUUAGCUAGACCCGUAUUCACUUCCGAGGUGAAUGGCCAGGGUCUCACUACGAGGCUUCUCCCUAGAGUCCUCAUUACGCAAAUGCUAGAAAUGGUCAACUGCAUAAGGUACACCUACCGUAACCAACUUAUAGUCCAGACCACAUGGUAAAGCUUUAGGAACUAUGCUCGUAUCCAAUCUGCCUGAGCCGGUACUAUAAGCGCUUGCCAGAUGCCCCCGUUCCGGACGACCACGACCAACACCCAACAUAAGACUUCCCUAGUUAUUUAGCCAAGACCAGAGCCAUGAUAGUCCUCAUGGUAGCAGUGUUUUCCCGGGUGGUCACUCCAUGUUCCAAUUAAUAUGCAAUAAUCUUGUUUAACCAUCGGGUUAACAAUAAUAAUGUAAACUUACCAUUUGGAACAUUAAUAUCAUAAAUAGGAGUGACUGCAUAAAGUAAGUUGUAGCAAUAGCAUAGCUACUUGAUUAGAUCAUAAUCUCAGGUUAAACAAGGAGUAAGGUUGGAAAGGUUUAGGGUAUUUAAAUAGGUAACUCGUCAAAUUAUGCAUAUAUAUCCAAGAAUAAACUUUAUUGAAUGUAUUAUUUGGGAUCAAACAGAGUAUGCAGAGGGAGAAGUCCACUUGCCUUGCUUAUUGAAAACUUGAGGUUCUUCCAUAGAAUAUAUCUUGAUUCUCAACUACUGGAUCAAUAUCUAAACAUCACAUAACAAACAAGAAGAACAAACACCACUCAAUAACAUACCACAUUCACCAUACGUAAAGCUAAAAGAAAGCCUAACGAAAAGAGCAUUCGCUUUUCAAAAACAUUACUCGCACGAGUUAUAAUAAGAAGGUAUUCUUUAAAAAUGUGUGAUCUAUACUUUAUAAAAAAGACAUGAGCUUAAAAAUAUCUUAGUUAAAAUAUAUAAAUAUUAGGUUCACCAAUUUAAUCUUUUAUAAAACGUCAUAUGUGAUAUGUCUACGAUUAAGAUGAUAAAACAAGUUAUAACAAUAUUAAACCUUUAUAACCUUUUAGAAAAGAUAUAUGUUAUAUAUCUAAGGUUAAUGCGUUAUGAAAUUAAUUUUAGAAGCAUUAUGGAGCAUAUUAUAAAUAUUGUUAACCAAUCACUUAUGACAAAUUAAGAUAUAAGUCUAAAUAGGUUUUAUUUGAAAAGAUCAUUAUUAUUAAACACCUAUUUAUGGAAAGCUAUGAUAUAUGCUUUAAUGAACUUUUAUGUAAGAGACAAUGAACAAACAACUAUAUUUUAUUUUUAUUAGAAAGUACAUGUCCUAUAUUCUUAUAUUCGAAGUCAAUAUAUAAAGUAACAUUUUAAGUUAUAAAAGAACUUAAACUCUUAUUACUUUAUUUUAUCCUUUAGGAAAAACUAAAUGAUUCGAACAAAUUGACUAAAUGUGUUAUGAACAAGUUGACAAUAGGUUUGACUAAUGAAUUAUGAUAAAGGAUAAUUAAUCUAUUAAUUAUCUUUAAUUCUAUUGUAGAAACAAAUGAUCUAUUUCAUUAGAAAGGAAAUUAUGUAUAAACUAUCAUUUUAGUUUAUAAAAGCAAUGACCCUUGUUAUCUUUUAAUUAAGAAAAUAUAAAUAAUCUAUUAAUUGCACAUAUAUUUAUCUUCUAUUCUUUUUUUAUUAAGAAACAUAUGUCUACAUAUUCUUUUAAGUUUCUAUUUAAUACGGCUAUACUUAAACCUUUAUAACGAACCUUGUUAAAUAGGAUAUAUAUUAAAAGGUCAUUUUAAACUAGAAACAAGUUAUCAAUUAUUUAGUAAGAAACCUAUGUUUAUCAACAUACUAUUAUUUUCUUUACUAGAAAAAUAUGAGUGCCUAGUUAAGUCAUUAUAAAUUCUACUAUUUCAGUUUUCUCUUUUCUAAAUAGAAUUUAUACGUAUAACUAGAAUUUUUUUAUUUAAUUCCUCUAACAUUAAUACACUAAGAAUUAAUUGUAUAUUACUAAAUGAGACGUUUAAUAACAUAUUCAUGGUUAUUAUGACAUACAUAAAUAUCUUACUAAUUCUAAAUACUUAAGUGCUAUCCUUAUGAAUACUUUUAUUAUGACUAGUAACAUCUAUAUUUUCAUUUGACCGGAACUAUGUGGCCUAGUAUUUCUUCUAUUUCUUCAUGCAAAUAAGUGUACACUUAAAAUACUACUAACAAUUAUCGUUCCACACAUACUAAAGUGAAAUAAACAUUUCUAGUAUGAAAACGAUGGAAGUAGUGAAUAGUGAUUGUGUUCAUUUUUAGAAUUAUAAAAUCAUACGCAUUUUAAAAUAUUGUCAUGGGGUUCGAUUUUGGUUACACGUAUACAUCGGAAUCUCUAAAAUCAUACACGAAUCGCCAAAUCGCAUCAAUAUUACAACAAUAAAUCGUAAGGUUCAAAACAUGAUUUAGAAAAUAAAUAAGUGGGUUGUCUUCGACCUUGGAUGAACGGACGAUGGCAAACAAGCUCGAGCGUGUGUCUAGGCGAAGGGUUGGAUGGGGUUCGGGCACAUCUUCGGUGAGGCACGACGGCGAGCGGUGGUGCUGCUGCGCGUGCGGGCAUGGGUUCUUGACAUCGGACGGGGCUCCGACGAGGUGGUGCAUAGACGGAGCUCCGGCAUGGAACGUGGACGGUGAGCACGAGCUCCGGCGAGGGAGAGAACGAGGAGGGAGUGAGAGAGGGAGCUCAGGCAGGGAGAGGGAGAGGGCUCAGCGUGCAAUUUAUAGAGAAGGGAGAGGGAGAGAGAGAGAGUCGCCGGUCGGUUUCAAGGCUGCCAUCAACGCCGUCCAUGAAGAGAGGGAUUAAUAGGGAGAAGAAACAGUCGCAAUGAAGUUUCAUAACGCGGUAGAGAAACGGACGGUGCGGGCGACGGUUUCCUGGCGCGCGGGCGCGGUGCUUCGGUCGUGGUCGCUGCACAACGUGGAGGAGCGCGCGCUGGGCAGGUCACGCGCUGGUGCGGGGCAAGGGCGCGCCUGGGCGUGCAAGCUCGGUCGUGGCUUAUUGCGCGGGGCACUGUGCGGUCGAGGACACGGUGGAGCAGGGCGGCUCGGCCGCUUGGGCGGCGUUCUUGGCGGCUGGGGCGCUGGUCGACGCGGCCAAGAUAGCAGGGAGAGGAGAGCAGGGGAAGGAGAGAAGAAGGUGGGGCCCGCGUGCAGAAAAGAAGAAAAAAUGUCCCUAGCGGCGGCGGCUGUGCAGGGAGCCAGGGGCGGGGCGCGCGACAGCUUAGGGUUAGGUGUUGGGUCAAACGGUUAGGUUAGGUUUUGGUUUUUUUUUCUAUUUCUUUUUGUAAAUUCGAAUUAUAUUUUUAAAUAGCCCUAAAUUUGAUAAUAAUCACAACAAAACUAUUUAUAAAUAAAAUAUUUAUUUUUGGACUAAUAAUUAUUAUAUUACUUAUUUGGAUUUUUUAACAAGAAGUGCUAUUCGAUAUCCAACAUCAAUUAUGAGAAAUCAAAAAUGAUUCCAAAGGUAAACACUUAAAAUAAAAUUAAUUACCAUAAAUAUCAUUAAUAACCAAAUGUAUUAUUUUUAUUUGAUGACUUUUAUAGUGUUACAAAUCUACCCCUCUUAAAAAGAAUCUCGUCCUCGAGAUUAAGAAAGGCUAGCACGAAAGCAAAGGAAAUACAUGGUUUAUUUGUAGGUUCUUAGUUCACAUUGAACUCCUCUAAACCUAAGGAACUUCCUUACUUCUUUGCUCCGCAAUGUAUACUAAUCAAGCAACCUUUAUCAUCGUACUUAUAAAAUGGUGGGUCUUCUGAAUUAUUGCUUAGGUCAUGCUUGUCAGCUUUCUUCUUUAUUUGGUCUAGACGCUUCUUGGGGCAUUCGCGAAUAAUAUGUCCUUCAUUUUUGCAGUGGUAGCAAGCACCUCUUGCUUUGAGUUCUUUGCGAGUCAACUUUGCUUGACCAACAGGGGGUGAGGGUUGACUGGGUGUCUGUAUCUCAUAUAGCUGAGCCUGACUUGAUUCUUCUGUUUGGGUAUCCAUUUGUUUCAUGGCUUUUGCUUGUGGUUGGGGUUAACUAAUCAUGUAUCCAAACAUUUUUCUAUUCCUUUUGUUGUUCUUCAUUCCAUUCAUCGAAUAUCUCGGUGACUCAUUUUUCUCGUUCAUAGUUGUUAAGGUAGGAAUGUUGUCAUUGGCAUCAUUUACUUCAUUUCCAUUGGGGUUCAUCAUCUUGUUAGAGAGUAAAAGAGAUAGUGAGACAAUAUUACAUAAGAGGCUUGUACGAUAUGAAGAUAAAGGGCGAACACAACUUUUUGAUUUCCAAGAUUAGUCAAGGAACAAGGGUGGUUUCAUAUUUCUCCUAGCUUCAUCAUACUACAAGAGCGUACAAGUGUUAUAAUCCUUAACAUAGAUCCUUUUGAACCUUAUAAAUUACAGAGCAUGAUAUCCAAAUCAUCUUUCUGAUCCAACAGUAUUUCUUUGAGCACAAAUUGAGAGAAAGACUUGAGCGAGAUUUUAGGGCAACUAGAGUAUCACAUUGUUUGCAUAUAGCAGAUGACACCAUACUUUAUUUUCUUUAUAAAGAGGCAAAACACAAUAGGUGCGAAAGAUUCUCCAAAUUUAUUCAUAUAUCACUUAGCACAAUUACAAAUCUUGAAAGGGGCAACAUCUUGACAUUUUUUUCUUUGUGAGACAUACUCCUUCUAGCUAAAUGAUAUAUUAUUCUUCCUUGUCAGAUGCACCAAUCUUCAGGGCUAGAGGUCGGUUGUCUUCAACUACUAUUCUUUCUCCAGAUGGGGUUUCCAAACACAUGGUUCUCUCAGUAUAUUGGAUUACUGCCUUAGUUCUUUGUAACCAAUUCUUUCCAAGAAUCACAUCCUUUCCCAUUAUUUCUAUCACUAUAAGAUCAGCUGGAAAAUCUAUCCCAUUGAUUUUAACACUUACAUUUGGACAUAUGUAGUUUACUAACAUUUUUCCUUCGGAUGCACUGAUGGUCUUGCUCGAUCUCAAGGGACACUCAAAGAUACCAUACUUUGUUGCAAACUGGGCACUGAUAAAAGAAUGUGUUGUACGAGGAUCAUACAACACGGUGGCAAUAGUUGUGUGAAUGACUAGUGUUCCAAAAAUCACUGCAUUAUCACAUGGAAUAGUUCCUGUCACUGCAUAACUUAUCUUUCCUGUGGUCUCUUUCCAUUGUUUAUUCUUUGUUGAUGCAUGGGUUUGAGGGUGUUGUCUUUUCUUUUGGACCUUAUUGAUCUCCACAUCCUUGUUAGGACAACUAUUAACAAGAUGGCCGGUAUCACCACAUCCAAAGCAAGCACGACUUGAUAAGUUACAUGGUGGAGUUGUCUUUACUGUGUUGGUAGAAGUUUCUGUGCAUUUUUGUUCAUAUUCCAUGUCUGAAGACUGAGAUAGCUUCAUCUCGGAGGUGAUCUGUAGUGAACUUUUCUCAGGACAGUUACGGAAGUAAUGACCUUCACGUCCACAUUGAUAGCAAGCUUUUCUUGAAGUUAUUUCUUGACUCUUUCCAUGUUUCCCUUUUUGUUUCUUGGACCUAAUGCGAACACGAGGCUGAAACUAUGUGCAAGUAAUAUUCCAUCCAUCAAUGUAACACUCUUGUGUUUCUUCUUGGGGCUGGGCAUCCUUGUGAUGUUUCCCUUUUGGAUUACUUUGCAAUUCAUUAACUGGCAGUGCAUUAGGUACGAGAGAAUCUUCUAUUAAUUGUUCUUGAGGAGACAUCUGUCUUUUUAUACCAGAAAACAAAAUACGGUUCUUCUGUUUUGUAGUUUCAUUUUCAUUUGCAUUGAUUUGGCGACAAGGAAUUCCAUAGUACUCACAACAACAACAUAUUCCAAGGUCACUUGUCUGUUGGUUUGGUUGUGCAUCCUUUUGUGUCUUCAAUGUCUGUUCAUCAGCUGUUUUAUUUAGAGUGUUGUUUUGACUUGCCAACACACCGCAUUCUUUGCAUUUAGUGACAUCUCUUGUAGUUGACAUUCCAAGGUCUGACAUCUGUAUGGGUAUGGAGGAAUGGAAGGGACGAAAAGGUUGAGCAAAGACAAAUUAUAGAGAGCAGAGAGAACCCAACUAUCUAAGGUUUUACCUGGUGAAUUGAUGCCAUUGUGGACAGAAGUCACAUAAUACACCAACAAUCAUUACAAAGAAGCAAAUCAAACAUGGGCACAAAAACAACUAACAUGAACUCAAACAUAUCAGCACAACAUAAUUCGAUGUUAUUCAUUCAAUCAAAAGGCAAUCUUUCCCAAGGAAAACAAUUUCUUAUAGUUUUUUUUGAAAGGCGGGACAAGGUUAGAAAUAAGAAAGAGAUAAUAAAAUCCAGGAAUUAGAUCAGAAAUAACAAGGAGGUAGUCAAGAUUCAAAACAUUAUUGUUAAUGGCCAAGAGUUAAAUAAGAUAACCACUAACUGAUGAAGCGAGGAUAAAUUAUACAACCAAGGAUAUGAGAAAUUUUUUUUAAGGAUACAAAAUACAAAAGCCUUAUCAAGGGGAGAAGUAGAGAGACAAGGAUUCAAUACAUCGAGGUACAUAUUGUCCAAGGAUGACAAUAUAAUGGCAAGAAAACAAGAGUAGGAGAAAUCAAGAGUUAUAUAGCAAUAUUAUGUAUUAGAAAACAACCACAAUAUGACGUUGUCUUUACCGAUCUAGUCGAAAACUUAGCACUAUAGAACUAUCCUAUCAACCUAACCAAGAAGAAUGGUAAUAGAUCCAAGAGAUCUAUAACAAAAACUUCUUGCGGGGCGGGGAUAAGACAUAGAAUGGGGCAUCUUCCUGUAACACCCUGAAUUUGGGGGUAUAAAAUUUCUUUUCUAAUAUCCACCAAAUUCAGGUGUUACUCUCUUAGUUCUUCGCUUUCCUUUCUCUUUUUCCUAAAAAUGGAGAAUUUUUUUUAUAAUAGCGUAAACCUUGUGGAAUGAGCCCUAGAGGCACUUUGGUUGUUGCAUUCAUGCCGAAGCAUAUUUCUUUGUCUGAUGUCGUGUUUAAUCGCGUGUUCGUCUCAUCCCGGUUCGGAUUUCGAUUCGCGAUCAAAAUUCCGAUUGGUGUUCGACCCGAGGAGUGACCAAGCCCGGCCCAGUCCGGGCCGGUCCGGCCAAGUCAGGCCCGCGCGCCCCUGGUGCCCCUUGCCCUACCCAUGCACGCGCCCCCUCCCCCUAAUCCCGUUGUCUCAUUUGAUUUUCUCCCGCGCAGUAACUUCCCUCUCCCACCUCUCUAUCUCCCCGUGGUGCCCUAGGGUUUGGAGUCGAGAUCGCCGGAAUUUGGAUCUCCGGAGGUGAGUUUUCCCCUCCCCUUCCCUUCUCUCUCCCUCCUCCACCUCCCUUCUUCCCCUGGACGCGCCCCUCCCCUAUCCUCGUCGCGUGUGCCCCCUAGCGGGUCCCGCCCCGUCGCGCCCCCUCCCCAUCCCGUGCCCUGCGCGCUGGCCGCCAGCGAGCCCCUCCCCGGCGAGCCGCGCCCCUGGCUGCGCGCCCUCCCCCCCGCGCGCCGCGCCCUCCCCUGCCCCGUCGCGCGACGUGGCGGCGGCUUGGCCACGCCACGUCCCGCGCCCGGCCCCGGCCUCGCGCCCGGCCCCGCGUCCUCCCCGCGCCCGGCGGCGGUGGCCCGCGCCGUGCCCUCCCCCCCGCGUCGCGCCCCGGCGAGUCCCGCCCCGGCCGAGCCCCUUCCCGCGUCGCGCCCCCCGGCGAGUCCCGCCCUGGUCGAGCCCCUCCCUGUGUCGUGCCCCCCGGCCAAUCCCCUCCCCGGCCGUGCCCCUCCCGCGCGCCGCUCCCCCAGCCGCGCCCUUGCCGCACGCCCUCUGCUGCGUCCUCGGGCGCCCUGGCCGCGCCCUCGGCUGCGCCCUGGCCCGCGCCCUGGCCCGCGCCCCGGCUGUGCCCUCGACCGUGCCCCCGGCUGCGCCCUCGCGCGCCCCUGCCCGAGCUCGUGCCCCGGCAGCCUCGCGCCACACGCGGCUUGCACGGUUCGCGUGCCCUUGGCACGCGCAGCGUGCUCUCGCGCGUGCGACCGUAGUCGCAUUUCGUUUAACCCUCGUUUAAUCCAUUUUAAUUUUGUUUAGUCAAUGUGCUACGUUGCGCGCUUCGUCGCGCGACGGUCCUUUUAAAUUUAUAUUUAUUAAUGUGUUGCGACGCGCGCUUCGUCGCACGAUGAUCCGUUAAUUUAUAUUUAUUGCAGUGCUGCGUCGUGCGCUUCGUCGCGCGACGAUUCGUUUUAAAUAUAGUUCUGUUGGCGUAAGCCGUCGUGCAUUUCAUUGCGCAACGCUUAACGUUUGUAUUUAAUUAAUGCAAGAAUCUUGUUGCGCGCUCUGUCGCGCGGCAAGUCAUUUAUUUCUUAAUUCAAUUUAAAUGCUGUGUCGUACGUCUCGUCGUAUGACCAAUCCCUUUCGUUCAUCUUUACCUAUUUAUAGUGACUAUAUGUGGAACAUGACUUUACUUUAUGCUAAAUGCAAUAUCUAAUUUGAUACCCUUCUGUUUAAACGAAUGGUUUAAUUUAUAAUUAUGUAAAGUGAUUGCCUCUCGACCGUAGACCCGACUGUCAUUUCCUCUUUCUCUCUUAACUGUAAUUGCGAGCCCCGCGUUGAACGUCUGUUUAUUUAUUGCAUUCCAUUGUAUGGUGUAUUGUUCUUUUGGUAUUAAAUGUGUGGAAUGUAUGUUUGAACUCGUAUAGAGAACAAUCUGGUUGAAGAGCCCGAGGAACUCACAGGAGAAGCCCCUGAACAGCAGCUGGUUGGUGGAGGCAAGUGUCCCUUGACCCAUCUAUGUGCUACUCAUUCUUAUAACUCACUCCCCGCAUUUACACACUUUAUACCUAAGGAUUGACUAGCUUUUGUUUAUCUUGUCCUUGUCUACCUAUUUUGGUUGGGUUAUUAUAGUUUAGCUCUAUGCUAGUGCUUCACAUUAAUCAAUGAACAUGAUGAGAUUUAUCAAUGAUAUGAUGUUUCCCUUCUUUAUUAUGAUGUUAUACUUAUGUCAUUCAAGGGGGCUCGAGCGGUUUCUCGAGUUCCUCUCUGUAAGGACCUGUUCGUUGGAUGACCGCCCGGAAAAAUAGUGCAACCAUGAGGGUGGAAUGGGAUGCCCUUAGCUGAAUAAUUAGAGGAACCGGGGUGUAGUUCGCUUAGCCGUCGUGCCGUUAAUGGGGCUCGGUGUAUGCGGCUCGCUCUGCCAAGUUUGGUUCGCCCCUUGGGGAGGAGUGCGGUGCAUUUAGUAAACCUAACGGGCGGCUACAGCCCCGGGGAAUCUUUGUAAAGGCUACAUAGUGAGACCCUGCCUAUUCACCUUGGUAGUGUUUAAGGGUUUGAUCGGCCCGAGGCAAGAGGGAAUCACGACUUGUGGGUAAAGUGCGUAACCUCUGCAGAGUGUUAUGAAACUGAUAUAUCAGCCAUGCUCGCGGUUAUGAGCGGCCAAGGGAGCUCCAUUGAUUAGUGGUACUUGAUCAGAGACAUUUUGGUUUACAGGUGGCAAUGAGAUUGAUGGUUUUGGUUAUGACUAUGGUACUGGUAAGUUGUAUUCUUUCCGUUUGGAAGGGUACAUCAGGUUAAUAACUUGGGUUAAUGCUAAAACCUGGCUUUCUACUAGUAAAUAAUAACCUAACUAAUUAAAAGCAACUGCUUGACUUAACUCUACAUAAAGCUAGUCCACUACAGCCAAACAGGAUACUUGCUGAGUAUGUUGAUGUGUACUCACCCUUGCUCUACACACCAACCCCUCCCCCUAGGUUGUCAGCAUUGCAACCACUGCUCAAGAGAAGAUGAAGCCAUGGAAGGAGACUUUCAGGAGUUCCAAGAUUACGACGAGUUCUAGGUGUGGGUUAGCGGCAACCCCCAGUCGGCUGCCUGUGAAGGCCGCGUGUAUCUACGUUUCUUUUCCGCACUUUGAUUAUUGUAAAGACUAUGUGGAUGUCUCAGACAUAUGAUGUAAUCGACUAUUAUACCCUCUUUUAUGUCAUUAUUUUAGCACUGUGUGAUGAUGUCCAGUUAUGUAACUGUUGUGUACGUGAAUUGCUGGUCCUGGCACGUACAUGGUUCGCAUUCGGUUUGCCUUCUAAAACCGGGUGUGACAUAGGUGGUAUCAAAGCCGUGCUGACUGUAGGACCGCUGAUCUAGAGUAGCAUUGGCCGUUUUAAGGACUUCUUGACUGUUACUUCACCUCAUCCUUGAUUCUGCUUCAAAAUUUUAGUCAUCUCGACUAAUUCUAUGUUGUGCUCCUAUAUGGCCCCUUGUCAAAAAGUAUUUUAUUCUAGCAUGGUCUAUACUUCUCUUAGUCUAUUAGAACUUAUCUCACUCUUGUGCUUGCGACAUCUUUAUAGAUGCCCCCUGACCAUAGCCUUUAGUCUUUUGGGACUCUUUCCUCAUCCAUUAUUAAAUUGCUACCAUUUGACCAUCUCUAUUCCAUUUUGUUAUUGACAUGCUCGUACCCUUGCAUUUUUUAAUACCCUUAUCCCUUAAUCUAAAAUACUUACCCUUGUACCUCUAUUGCCUAUUUAAAUAGUUCAGUUUAUGUGUCCAUGACCUUCUUGUCUUCUAAGAUCAUUUCUUAUUCUGUUGUUAAGUCGCUAUCUCUCGGUAAUUUCUGUGCCCUUGGUCUUAGUAUGCUCGUAUCCUUGGAAUCUUACAUACUCUUAUAUUCUUAUGUAUGCUUAUUUUCAUACCCCAAUAACCGUUCAAGACAUUUCAGUUAACAUGUCCUUGACCACCCCUGUUUCUUAAUGGUCCAUGAGCGAUAAUUUAUGUUGCCCAUCCUUGGUGAUCUCGUUGUUCCUUUAUAACUUCUCUCGAUAAUGAAUUCUUACUUCAACCAUUCUAUUGCACCCUCACCUAUCUUACCCUUGAUUGUUUUCUCCACUUCACCACUUCGUGAGCCUUGCCUUCACUCUAUCCUUUGUCAUGCCUUUUGUUAUUAUCGCCUUCACCUUAGACACCUCUAUAUCUUACUUGAUGUUUGUCUCAUACCUGCCCUUUAAAAUCACCUCUCUUCUGUCUCAUUCUGAGAGCUAUACUUUACCUAUCUUUACCUUGGUCGUAUCCUCUUCUUUGGCUUGCGAGUUUGUAACUUCGUCCUUUAUUGUGCUUUUGUUUGUUAUUGCCUCCACCUUUCUCAUAUCUCGAUCUUACCUAGGUGAUUACCCUAUGCCCGUUAUCUGAAAUCUCCAGUCUCCUAUCUCAAUUUGAGAGUGAUGUUUUACUUAUCUUAUCCUUGGCAACAUCCUCUUCUUUACCGCGUGUAAGCCUUGACAUACGUCCAUUCUUUAUUGUACUUUUACCACUGGCUCUUUAGUUGCCUUCAUCUUUUCUCUCAUACCCUUGUCUGUCAUCGCCUAUGACCCUUGCGAUAUCUAUGUCUUCUACCUAAAUUCUUACCUUGAACUUAUCCUUUAAAAGCCUCCCCUUUCUUUCGACCAAGUUUGAGAGCUGUGAGUUACCUAUCUCUCACUUGAUUUCUUUUCACUCCUUGCCGCCUUACAAGUUUUGUCGUAAUUCCAUCCUUUGCUGGGUGUUUUAUUUGCUAUCACCAUCUCCUUGUCAUCCAUCGAUCUUGCCUUGAUACUCAUCUUUAUUCUGGCUCCUUAAAAAUCUCCUCUCUUCCACCUCAAUUGGGAAGUGACUGCUCACCUAUCUGGCCCUUGGACGUACCCUCUCCUUUUCCAUUUGUAGGUCCUAUCUUAACUCCAUUCUUUAUGGUACUUAUAUCCUUUGUCUUAUGCCUAAUUACCUCCUCUCCUACAUCCUUGUCCGUUAUUACCUUUAAAACCCUCGUGAUAUAUGCCCUUGCCUUCCUGCUUACCUUGAACCUACCCUUUGAAGCCUCCUCUUUUCCAUCCCUGUUCGGGGAUAAUGCCUCAUCUAUUUCAUCAUUGACUGCUCCCCCUUCUUUGACACCUUGCAAGGUUUGUCUAAAAUACAUCCUUGGUUGUGUUUGUCUGUUAUCACCUUAACCCUUGUCAUCCCUUAAUCUUUACCAUGAUGCUUAUCUUGCACCUGCAUUUUAAAGCCUCCUCUCCCAUUUCAGUUCAAGAGUGUUGUCUUACCCAUCCUGCUCUUGUUCAUUCCCUUUUCCUCUAUCGUGCUGCAAGUCUUGCCUUAACUCUAUCUUUUAGUGGGCUUUUGCCUUUCACCUCACUUACCUUUGUAAUCUCUAGAUCUUUCCAUGAUGUUAUCUUAUGCCUACCUUUUGAAAUAUCAUCUUUUCCAUCUCGAUUUGAGAAUGGUGUUUUACCUAUCCUGACCAUUGAAAGGGAAAUGUGCCCUUGGGCCAUUUCUAUAAGAUUUUGGUGAUUAAGUGCUCAACACAAAUGCUUUGAGUAAUAUUUGGGCCAAAGACUCAAGAAGUGCAAAUCAAGAUUAAAGGUAUGUUUCUAGACUUACUACAUUGUUUUGAAGACUAAUGUAUUGUGUCUAAGUGCUAGAAACAGGAGAAAUCACUUUGGAAAUAAGUUGGCUGUGUUCAGCCAAAAGGCUGCUCGGUCUGGGUGCAUCGGACUGUCCGGUGGUGCACCGGACAGUGUCCGGUGUGCUAGGACCAGUCCCGAUGAACAGCCUACUCUCGGGUCUCGACGGCGGCGUACGGCUAUAAAUCACCGGACUAUCCGGUGGUGCACCGGACUGUCCGGUGAGUCGUCUGCGGCGAAGUCGCCGCUCUCGGGAAACAGUCAACAGUGUACGGCUAAAAUUCACUGGACUGUCCGGUGGUGCACCGGACUGUCCGUUGAGCCAAUGGUCGACUACACCAACGGUCGGCCGCAUAAUCCGCGCGUGACGCGUGGCCGAGCCAACAGUCGGAUGGGGGCACCGGACUGUCCGGUGUGCACCGAACAGUGUCCGGUGCGCCAACGGCUCCAAAUCUUCAACGGUCGGCUGCGCCAAUUUAGGAAAGCAAUCUGCACCGGACAACAAACUGUGGAUGUCCAGUGGUGCACCGGACUGUCUGGUGCGCCACCCGACAGAAGGCAAGAAUUGCCUUCCUGGAUUGCUUCCAAUGGCUCCUAGCUGCCUUGGGGCUAUAAAAGGGACCCCUAGGUGCAUGGAGGAGUACACCAAGCAUUCUUUGAUCAUCCCUAAGCACCAAGACUCCAUCCUAGCGCAUUUGAUUCGUUGUGAUAGCAAUUUGAGCUCCUUCUGAGUCGAGAACUCCUAAAAGGGAAAUGUGCCUUUGGGCCAUUUCUAAGUAUUUUGGUGAUUGAGUGACAACACAAGUGCUUAAAUGUAAAUCUAUGCCCAUGGAUGGACAAGUUGCAAAUCACAAGUAAAGGUAUGUUUCUAAGCCUUAGUACAUUGUUUUAAAGACUAAUGUGUUGUGUCUAAGUGCUUGAAACAGAAGAAAUCGAGAAGAAGAAGAGUUGGCUGUGUACAGCCAACAGGCUGUUUCGGUCUGGGGCACCGGACUGUCCGGUGGUGCACCGGACAGUGUCCGGUGCGCCAGGCUGCCUCGACCUGAAGACGCCGCUCUCGGGAAUUUGCCGACGGCGUACGGCUAAAAUUCACCGGACUGUCCGGUGUGCACCGGACUGUCCGGUGAGCCAACGGUCGGCCGAGCCAACGGUCGGCCGCGCAAUCUGCGCGCGACACGUGGUCUGGCCAACGGUCGGAAGGAGGCACCGGACUGUCCGGUGCGCCAGAUCUGCAACGGUCGGCAACGGUCGGCUGCGCCGUGUAAGGAAAGAAAUCGGGCACCGGACAGUGUCCGGUGUGCACCGGACUGUCCGGUGCGCCCGACGACAGAAGGCAAGGAUGGCCUUCCAGAUUUGUUCUCAACGGCUCCUAGCUGCCUUGGGGCUAUAAAAGGGACCCCUAGGCGCAUGGAGGAGCACACCAAGCAUUCCUUGAGCACUCUUGAUCACUCACACAUCAAUCUUGCGCACUUGUUCGACAUUCUAGUGAUUUGAGCUCCGUUCUAGUGUGCUAGUCUCUUGAGCUCAAGUCUGGGUCUUGUGUGUGCGUAUUCGCUGUGAUCUUUGUGUUGUGUGUGAGUUGCUAAUCCCGUCCUUGCUCCGUGAUUCUCUGUGAACAUCUUUUGUAAGGGCGAGAGGCUCCAAGUUGUGGAGAUUCCUCGCAAACGGGAUUGAGAAAAGAAAAGCAAGAACACCGUGGUAUUCAAGUUGAUCAUUGGAUCACUUGAGAGGAGUUGAGUGCAACUCUCGUCCGUUGGGACGCCACAACGUGGAGUAGACAAGUUUUGUACUUGGCCGAACCACGGGAUAACCACCAUGUCAUCUCUGUGAUUGAAUUCUUGUGGUUAUUGUGUUUUGACUCCUCUCUAGCCACUUGGCCAUAAUUGUGCUAACACUUAACAAGUUUUUGUGGCUUAUGUUUUGAAGUUUUACAGGAUCACCUAUUCACCCCCCCUCUAGGAGCUCUCAAUUGGUAUCGGAGCCGUUCUCUUCAAGAAAGGGACUAACCGCCCGAAGAGAUGGAUCCUAAGGGGAAGGGAAUCGUGAUCAAUGACAAGGAGAAGGAGUCCUUCGUCAACGAGCCAAAGGAUGACAAGUCCAACGACUCGGGCUCAGGCCAUAGACGAAAAGAUGGGAAGAAGAAGAAGACAAGGCGCAUCAAGGAGAUUGUCUACUACGACAGCGACGAAUCCUCCUCUUCCCAAAAGGACGACGACAACGACUACAGGAAGACGGUCAAUUCGAACUUUUCAUUUGAUUAUUCUCGUAUUCCACAAAGUUCGAAUUCACAUUUACUUUCCAUUCCUCUUGGCAAACCCCCACACUUCGAUGGGGAGGACUACGGAUUUUGGAGUCACAAAAUGCGUAGUCACUUAUUCUCUCUCCAUCCAAGCAUAUGGGAGAUUGUGGAGAAUGGAAUGAAAUUUGAUAGCUCAGAUAGCCCUAUACUUAUAAAUGAACAAAUCCAUAGAAAUGCACAAGCUACUACCGUUCUCUUAGCAUCUUUGUGCAGGGAAGAGUACAAUAAGGUGAGCGGCUUGGACAAUGCCAAGCAGAUUUGGGACACCCUCAAGAUCUCUCACGAGGGCAACGACGUCACCAUGCUCACCAAGAUGGAGUUGGUGGAGGGCAAACUUGGGAGAUUCGCUAUGAUAAGGGGGGAGGAGCCAACCCAAACAUACAACCGGCUCAAAACCCUUGUCAACAAGAUAAGGAGCUAUGGAAGCACGCGAUGGACGGACCACGACGUCGUCCGCCUAAUGCUAAGGUCAUUUACUGUUCUUGAUCCUCAUCUCGUGAACAAUAUUCGUGAGAAUCCCAGGUACACGACGAUGACGCCCGAAGAGGUACUCGGAAAAUUCGUAAGCGGGCGGAUGAUGAUCAAGGAGGCGAGAUACGUCGAUGACGCGUUGAACGGUCCAAUCCACGAGCCUCAACCCAUUGCUCUCAAGGCAUCGAGAAGCAAGGAGGCACUACCAAGCAAGGUGGCGCAAAUUGAGGCGGCCAGGCUUAAUGAUGAAGAAAUGGCUCUCAUCAUUAAGCGCUUCAAGACGGCGUUAAGGGGUCGCAAGGAGCAUCCCAACAAGACCAAGACAAAGGGGAAGCGCUCAUGCUUCAAGUGUGGUAAGAUUGGUCACUUUAUCGCUAAUUGUCCCGAUAAUGAUAGUGACCAGGAAAAGAAGAGUGGAAAAUGGGAAAAGAAGAAGAAUUACAAGAAGGCAAAGGGCGAGGCUCAUAUUGGAAAGGAAUGGGAUUCGGAUUGCUCCUCGUCCGACUCCGACAACGAAGGACUCGCCGCCACCGCCUUCAACAAGUCAUCCCUCUUCCCCAACGAGCAUCACACGUGCCUCAUGGCUAAGGAGAAGAAAGUAAGUACUCGAAACUCUACUUAUGCUUCUUCUAGUGAGGAUGAGUCUAGUGAUGAUGAAAUAGACUAUUCAUGCUUAUUUAAAGGCUUAGAUAGAUCGAAGAUUGACAAAAUUAAUGAAUUGAUUGACACUUUAAAUGAUAAGAAUAGGCUACUAGAAAAGCAAGAGGAUCUCUUGUACGAAGAACAUGAUAAGUUUGUAGAGGCUCAAAAAUCCCUUGCAUUAGAAAUUAAGAAGAAUGAAAUGCUUGCUUGUGAGUUGUCUACAUGCCAUGAUUCAAUUUCUAAAUUAAAGAGCAUUAAUGAUGACUUAAAUGCUAAACUAGUAGAAGCACAUAAAUCCAACUCUUGUGUUGAACAUGUUGAAAUUUGCACUAGGUGUAAGGAUGUUGAUAUUAAUGCUUGUAGUGAACACUUAGUUUCCAUUUCAAAAUUGAAUGAUGAAUUAGCUAGUCUUAAUGCCCAACUUAAGACUAGCAAGAGUGAAUUUAAAAAACUAAAAUUUGCAAGGGAUGCCUACACUAUUGGUAGACACCCCUCAAUUAAGGAUGGGCUUGGCUUCAAGAGGGAAGCCAAGAACUUAACAAGCCAUAAGACUCCCAUCUCCACCAAGGAGAAAGGGAAGGCUCCUAUGGCUAAUAGUGUUAAGAAGAAUCAUGCUUUCAUGUACUAUGAUAGGAGAUACUCUAGAAAUGCUUUUAGAGGUAAUGAUGUUUUUGAUUCACAUGCUUAUGACUCUUAUGCUAUGACUGCUUCUAGUUCUCAUGUUAUGCAUGAUAGAAAUGUGUUUAGAAGAAAUGUUGUUCAUCAUAUGCCUAGAAAGAAUGUUAUUCAUGCUCCUAGGAAAGUAGUGAAUGAACCUUCUACAAUUUAUUGUGCUUUAAAUGCUUCCUUUGCUAUUUAUAGAAAGGAUAGGAAAGUAGUUGCUAGGAAGUUAGGGGCAAAAUGCAAGGGAGACAAAACCUGCAUUUGGGUCCCUAAGAAUAUUUUUGCUAACCUUGUAGGACCCAACAUGAGUUGGGUACCUAAAACCCAAGCCUAAAUUUGCCUUGCAGGUUUAUGCAUCCGGGGGUUCAAGCUGGAUUAUCGACAGCGGAUGCACAAACCAUAUGACGGGGGAGAAGAAGAUGUUCACCUCCUACGUCAAAAAUAAGGAUUCCCAAGAUUCAAUUGUAUUCGGUGAUGGGAAUCAAGGCAAGGUAAAAGGGUUAGGUAAAAUUGCAAUUUCAAAUGAGCACUCAAUUUCUAAUGUGUUUUUAGUUGAGUCUCUGGGAUAUAACUUACUAUCUGUUAGUCAAUUAUGCAACAUGGGGUAUAACUGUCUAUUUACAAAUGUAGAUGUGUCUGUCUUUAGAAGAAGUGAUGGUUCACUAGCUUUUAAGGGUGUAUUAGACGGCAAACUUUACUUAGUUGAUUUUGCAAAAGAAGAGGCCGGUCUAGAUGCAUGCUUAAUAGCUAAGACUAGCAUGGGCUGGCUGUGGCAUCGCCGCUUAGCACAUGUGGGGAUGAAGAACCUCCACAAGCUUCUAAAGGGAGAACACGUGAUAGGUUUGACUAACGUUCAAUUCGAAAAAGAUAGACCUUGUGCAGCUUGUCAGGCAGGUAAACAGGUGGGAGGAGCGCAUCACAGCAAGAAUGUGAUGACCACAUCAAGGCCCCUGGAGCUGCUACAUAUGGACCUCUUCGGACCCGUCGCCUAUCUAAGCAUAGGAGGGAGUAAGUAUGGUCUAGUUAUUGUUGAUGACUUUUCCCGCUUCACUUGGGUGUUCUUUUUACAGGAUAAGUCUGAAACCCAAGGGACCCUCAAGCGCUUCCUCAGGAGAGCUCAAAAUGAGUUUGAGCUCAAGGUGAAGAAGAUAAGGAGCGACAACGGGUCCAAGUUCAAGAACCUUCAAGUGGAGGAGUUCCUUGAAGAGGAAGGGAUCAAGCACGAGUUCUCCGCUCCCUACACACCACAGCAAAAUGGUGUGGUAGAGAGGAAGAACAGGACGCUCAUCGACAUGGCGAGGACGAUGCUAGGAGAAUUCAAGACCCCCGAGUGCUUUUGGACGGAAGCCGUGAACACGGCUUGCCACGCCAUCAACAGGGUCUACCUUCACCGCCUCUUCAAGAAGACUUCGUAUGAGCUGCUAACCGGUAACAAACCCAAUGUAUCUUACUUUCGUGUAUUUGGGAGCAAGUGCUACAUUCUAGUGAAGAAAGGUAGAAAUUCUAAGUUUGCUCCCAAAGCAGUAGAAGGGUUUUUAUUAGGUUAUGACUCAAAUACAAAGGCGUAUAGAGUCUUCAACAAAUCAUCGGGUUUGGUUGAAGUCUCUAGCGACGUUGUAUUUGAUGAGACUAACGGCUCUCCAAGAGAGCAAGUUUUUGAUUGUGAUGAUGUAGAUGAAGAAGAUGUUCCGACGGCCGCUAUACGAACCAUGGCGAUUGGAGAAGUACGGCCUCAGGAACAAGAUGAACGAGAUCAACCUUCUUCCUCAACUAUGGUGCAUCCCCCAACUCAAGACGAUGAACAGGUUCAUCAACAGGAGGCGUGUGAUCAAGGGGGAGCACAAGAUGAUCAUGUGAAGGAGGAAGAAGUGCAACCGACACCUCCAACCCAAGUUCGAGCGAUGAUUCAAAGGGAUCAUCCCGUCGACCAAAUUCUGGGUGACAUUAGCAAGGGAGUAACUACUCGGUCUCGAUUAGUUAAUUUUUGUGAACAUUACUCCUUUGUCUCUUCUAUUGAGCCUUUCAGAGUAGAAGAGGCCUUGCUAGAUCCGGACUGGGUGUUGGCCAUGCAGGAGGAACUAAACAACUUCAAGCGCAAUGAAGUUUGGACACUGGUGCCUCGUCCCAAGCAGAAUAUUGUGGGAACCAAGUGGGUGUUCCACAACAAACAGGACGAGCACGGGGUGGUGACGAGGAACAAGGCUCGACUUGUGGCAAAAGGUUAUGCCCAAGUCGCAGGUUUGGAUUUCGAGGAGACUUUUGCUCCUGUGGCUAGGCUAGAGUCCAUUCGUAUCUUGCUAGCAUAUGCCGCUCACCAUUCUUUCAGGUUGUACCAAAUGGAUGUGAAGAGCGCUUUCCUCAACGGGCCAAUAAAGGAGGAGGUGUACGUGGAGCAACCCCCUGGCUUCGAGGAUGAACGGUACCCCGACCACGUGUGUAAGCUCUCUAAGGCGCUCUAUGGACUUAAGCAAGCCCCAAGAGCAUGGUAUGAAUGCCUUAGAGAUUUCUUAAUUGCUAAUGCUUUCAAGGUUGGGAAAGCCGAUCCAACUCUUUUCACUAAGACAUGUGAUGGUGAUUUGUUUGUGUGCCAAAUUUAUGUCGAUGACAUAAUAUUUGGUUCUACUAAUAAAAAGUCUUGUGAAGAAUUUAGCAGGGUGAUGACGCAGAAAUUCGAGAUGUCGAUGAUGGGCGAGUUGAACUACUUCCUUGGGUUCCAAGUGAAGCAACUCAAGGACGGCACCUUCAUCUCUCAAACGAAGUACACGCAAGAUCUGCUGAAGCGGUAUGGGAUGAAGGACGCCAAGCCCGCAAAGACUCCGAUGGGAACCGACGGACACACUGACCUCAACAAAGGAGGUAAGUCCGUUGAUCAAAAAGCAUACCGGUCAAUGAUAGGAUCGUUACUUUACCUAUGUGCUAGUAGACCGGAUAUUAUGCUAAGCAUAUGCAUGUGUGCUAGAUUUCAAUCCGAUCCUAAGGAGUGUCACUUAGUGGCGGUGAAGCGAAUUCUUAGAUAUUUAGUUGCUUCGCCUUGCUUCGGGCUCUGGUAUCCAAAGGGGUCUACCUUUGACUUGAUUGGAUAUUCAGACUCCGACUAUGCUGGAUGUAAGGUCGAUAGGAAGAGUACAUCGGGGACGUGCCAAUUCUUAGGAAGGUCCCUGGUGUCGUGGAAAUCUAAGAAACAAACCUCCGUUGCCCUAUCCACCGCUGAGGCCGAGUAUGUUGCCGCAGGACAGUGUUGCGCGCAACUACUUUGGAUGAGGCAAACCCUCAGGGACUUUGGCUACAAUCUGAGCAAAGUCCCACUCCUAUGUGAUAAUGAGAGCGCUAUCCGCAUGGCGGAAAAUCCUGUUGAGCACAGCCGCACAAAGCACAUAGACAUCCGGCAUCACUUUUUGAGAGACCACCAGCAAAAGGGAGAUAUCGAAGUGUUUUAUGUUAGCACCGAGAACCAGCUAGCCGAUAUCUUUACCAAGCCUCUAGAUGAGAAGACCUUUUGCAGGCUGCGUAGUGAGCUAAAUGUCUUAGAUUCGCGGAACUUGGAUUGAAUUGUAGCAUACAUGUGUUUAUGCCUUUGAUCAUGUUCAUUCUGCAUUUUGUUGCUUACUGUGGUGCUCAAGUUGUACAAACACUCCCUGGACCUCACAAGUCCGUUGCAAGGUGAUGCACAUGUUAAGGGGGAGAUGUGUUACAACUUGACCCUUUGAGACUAACUAUGUGGUUGAGUUUGCUUGAUUUAGUCUCGAAGGCGAAUUGAAAAGGAAAAGGUGGACUUGGACCAUGAAAGACUUCCACUGCACUCCGAUGAGAGGGUAACUUAUUCCAAGUCCAUCUCAUGAACUCUUAUUGCCAUUUGCUCUUAAUUGAAGAUUUUGGUGAGGCAAUGGGGUUAUGGGGCCAAGAUUGAUCCCGUUUUGGUGCUUGAUGCCAAAGGGGGAGAAAAUAAAGGUCAAAGCAAUAAAUGGAUCAGCUACCACUUGAGAGAUUUGAAAAUAGUAGAGUAGAGCUUUUGAUUUGUCAAAACUCUUUCAUUGUCUCUUUCGUCAAAAGUUGGCUUCUUGUGUGGAGAAGUAUUGAUUAUGGGAAAUAGGGGGAGUUUUUGAAAUCUUUGAUCAAUCUCUUUUGGAAUGACUCUCUUUAUGUUUCAACAUGUGUGUUUGACUUAGAGAUAGAGAUUUGUGUUUGAUUUACAAAAACAAACCAAGUGGUGGCAAAGGAUGAUCCAUAUAUGCCAAAAUUGAAUAGAACUCAAAUUUAUUCUAUUUGAAGUGAUUUUGCACUUGUUCUAGUUGCUUUAUGUUGUGUUGGCAUAAAUCACCAAAAAGGGGGAGAUUGAAAGGGAAAUGUGCCUUUGGGCCAUUUCUAAGUAUUUUGGUGAUUGAGUGACAACACAAGUGCUUAAAUGUAAAUCUAUGCCCAUGGAUGGACAAGUUGCAAAUCACAAGUAAAGGUAUGUUUCUAAGCCUUAGUACAUUGUUUUAAAGACUAAUGUGUUGUGUCUAAGUGCUUGAAACAGAAGAAAUCGAGAAGAAGAAGAGUUGGCUGUGUACAACCAACAGGCUGUUUCGGUCUGGGGCACCGGACUGUCCGGUGGUGCACCGGACAGUGUCCGGUGCGCCAGGCUGCCUCGACCUGAAGACGCCGCUCUCGGGAAUUUGCCGACGGCGUACGGCUAAAAUUCACCGGACUGUCCGGUGUGCACCGGACUGUCCGGUGAGCCAACGGUCGGCCGAGCCAACGGUCGGCCGCGCAAUCUGCGCGCGACACGUGGUCUGGCCAACGGUCGGAAGGAGGCACCGGACUGUCCGGUGUGCACCGGACUGUCCGGUGCGCCAGAUCUGCAACGGUCGGCUGCGCCGUGUAAGGAAAGAAAUCGGGCACCGGACAAUGUCCGGUGUGCACCGGACUGUCCGGUGCGCCCGACGACAGAAGGCAAGGAUGGCCUUCCAGAUUUGUUCUCAACGGCUCCUAGCUGCCUUGGGGCUAUAAAAGGGACCCCUAGGCGCAUGGAGGAGCACACCAAGCAUUCCUUGAGCACUCUUGAUCACUCACACAUCAAUCUUGCGCACUUGUUCGACAUUCUAGUGAUUUGAGCUCCGUUCUAGUGUGCUAGUCUCUUGAGCUCAAGUCUGGGUCUUGUGUGUGCGUAUUCGCUGUGAUCUUUGUGUUGUGUGUGAGUUGCUAAUCCCGUCCUUGCUCCGUGAUUCUCUGUGAACAUCUUUUGUAAGGGCGAGAGGCUCCAAGUUGUGGAGAUUCCUCGCAAACGGGAUUGAGAAAAGAAAAGCAAGAACACCGUGGUAUUCAAGUUGAUCAUUGGAUCACUUGAGAGGAGUUGAGUGCAACUCUCGUCCGUUGGGACGCCACAACGUGGAGUAGACAAGUUUUGUACUUGGCCGAACCACGGGAUAACCACCGUGUCAUCUCUGUGAUUGAAUUCUUGUGGUUAUUGUGUUUUGACUCCUCUCUAGCCACUUGGCCAUAAUUGUGCUAACACUUAACAAGUUUUUGUGGCUUAAGUUUUGAAGUUUUACAGGAUCACCUAUUCACCCCCCCCCCUCUAGGAGCUCUCAACUCCAUGUGUGAACUUUGAGCUCAAGUUGUUGGCUAGUGUGAGUGUUUGUGCUCUUGCUUUGAGUCUUGUGUGUGUUGCUUUUCCCACCCUUACUUCAGUGCUUCUUUGUGAUCAUCAAAUUGUAAGGGCGAAAGGCUCCAAGUUGUGGAGAUUCCUCGCGAACGGGAUAUAGUGAAACAAUGAGAAACACCGUGGUAUUCAAGUGGGUCUUUGGACCGCUUGAAAGGGGUUGAGUGCAACCCUCGUCCAUUGGGACGCCACAACAUGGAGGUAGACAAGUGUUGUACGUGUCGAACCACGAGAUAACUCGCGUGUCUUUUGUGAUUUCUUUUCUAUGAUACUUAUGUUCACAAGAGCUCGCUAUUUAGUCGACUAACUCUUAAUCAAGUUUUGUGGCUUUAAGUUUCAAGUUUUUACAGGAUCACCUAUUCACCCCGCCCUCUAGGUGCUCUCAAUUGGUAUCGGAGCCGUUCUCUUCAAGAAAGGGACUAAUCGCCCGAAGGGAUGGAUCCUAAGGGAAAGGGGAUGGUGAUCAACGAUAAAGAGAAGGAAUCCGUCUUCAACGAGCCAAGAGACGAUAAGCCCACUGACUCUGGCUCGAGUCACAAGAAAAAGGACGGGAAGAAGAAGAGGCGCAUCAAGAAGAUAGUCUACUACGACAGCGACGAAUCCUCUUCUUCCCAAAGAGACGACGAUGACGGCGAGAAAAAGAAAGCGGUUAACUCAAACUUCUCUUUUGAUUAUUCUCGUAUUCCAUCGAACUCUAAUGCUCAUUUGCUUUCCAUUCCUCUUGGUAAACCUCCUCAAUUUGAUGGAGAGGACUACAGAUUUUGGAGUCACAAAAUGCGUAGCCAUUUGUUCUCUCUUCAUCCAAGUAUAUGGGAGAUAGUAGAAAAUGGAAUAAAUUUUGAUAGUACGGAUAAUCCCAUGUUUAUCAAUGAACAAAUUCACAAAAAUGCACAAGCUACUACUGUUCUAUUAGCAUCCUUGUGCAGGGAAGAGUACCAUAAGGUGAGCGGCUUGGAUAACGCCAAGCAGAUUUGGGACACCCUCAAGAUCUCGCAUGAGGGAAAUGAUGUCACCAUGAUCACCAAGAUGGAGUUGGUGGAGGGCGAACUGGGAAGGUUCGCAAUGAUCUGGGGGGAGGAGCCAACCCAAACGUACAACAGGCUCAAGACCCUGGUCAACAAAAUAAGGAGCUAUGGAAGCACGAGAUGGAUGGACCACGACGUCGUCUGGCUAAUGCUAAGGUCCUUCACUAUCCUUGAUCCUCAUCUUGUAAACUCUAUUCGUGAAAAUCCUAGGUAUACCAAGAUGACGCCCAAGGAGAUACUUGGGAAGUUUGUAAGCGGGCGAAUGAUGAUCAAGGAGGCGAGAUAUGUUGAUGAGGCGCUAAAUGGCCCAAUGCCGAUCCACGAGCCUCAAACCGUUGCUCUCAAAGUAACAAGUAGCAGGGAGGCGCUACCUAGCAAGGUGGCGCAAGUUGAGGCAGCCAGGCUUAACGAAGAAGAAAUGGCCCUCAUCAUCAAGCGUUUCAAGACGGCGCUUAAAGGAAGAAAGGAGCAUCCAAACAAGACCAAAGCGAAAGGGAAAUGCUCCUGCUUUAAAUGUGGUAAGUAUGGUCAUUUUAUAGCAAAUUGUCUCGACAACACUAAUGACCAGGAACAAGAGAAAGGCGGGAAGAGGGAAAAGAAGAAGGCCUACAAGAAGGCGAAGGGCGAGGCACACCUCGGCAAAGAGUGGGACUCGGAUUGUUCGUCGUCCGACUCCGACGACGAAGGACUCGCCGCCUCGGCCUUCAACAAGUCGUCGCUCUUCCCCAACGAGCGCCAUACUUGUCUAAUGGCAAAGGAAAAGAAGGUAAACACUCGUGACACUCCCAAGUACUCUACUUCUAGUGAUGAGUACUCUAGUGAUGAUGAAGUAGACUACACUAGCUUGUUUAAAGGAUUAGAUAGAGCUAAGGUAGAAAAGAUUAAUGAUCUAAUUGAUGCAUUGAAUGAAAAAGAUAGACUUUUAGAAAAGCAAGAGGAUCUUUUAUAUGAAGAACAUGAUAAAUUUGUAAGUGUGCAAAAGUCUCUUGCUUUAGAAGUUAAAAGGAAUGAAAUGCUUUCUUGUGAAUUAUCUACUUGUCAUGAGACUGUGGCUAGCUUAAGAAGUAUUAAUGAUGAUUUAAAUGCUAAGCUAGAAGUAGCAAAUAAAUCUAGUCCUUGUGUAGAUCAUGUUGUAAUUUGCAAUAGGUGUAAGGAUUUUAAUGUUGAUGCGUGUAGUGAACAUUUAAUUUCCAUAACUAGAUUAAAUGAUGAAGUGGCUAGUCUUAAUGCCCAACUUAAGACUAGCAAAGAUAACUUUGAUAAACUAAAAUUUGCAAGGGAUGCCUACACUAUUGGUAGACAUCCCUCAAUUAAGGAUGGGCUUGGCUUUCGAAGGGAAGCCAAGAACUUAACAAGUCAAAAGGCUCCCAUUCCCAACAAGGAGAAAGGGAAGGCCCCUAUAACUAGUAAUGCUCAAAAGAAUCAUACAUUUAUUUAUGAUAGAAAAUUUUCUAGAAAUGGUCAUCAUAAUAGGAGUUUUAAUGCUUAUGAUUCACAUGCCAUGAUUGGUUCAAGUUCUUCCUUUGUGCAUAGGAGAAAUAUGCCUAGAAACAAUGUUGUUCAUCAUGCUCCUAGGAAAGUGUAUAAUGGAUCUACUAAUGUUUUUCAUGCCUGCAACACUGGUUUUGUACUUUCAUGUAAAAAUAAGAAAGUGGUUGCUAGGAAAUUGGGGGCAAAAUGCAAGGGAGAUAAAACUUGCAUUUGGGUCCCUAAGGCUAUUGUUACUAACCUUGUAGGACCCAACAAGAGUUGGGUACCUAAAACCCAAGCCUAAUUUGCCUUGCAGGUUUAUGCAUCCGGGGGCUCAAGCUGGAUUAUCGACAGCAGAUGCACAAACCACAUGACGGGGAGAAGAAGAUGUUCACCUCCUACGUCAAGAACAAAGAUUCCCAAGACUCAAUCAUAUUCGAUGACGGGAAUCAAGGCAAGGUGAAAGGACUAGGAAAGAUAGCUAUUUCAUCCGAGCAUUCCAUUUCUAAUGUGUUUUUAGUAGAAUCGCUCGGGUAUAACUUGUUGUCCGUUAGUCAAUUAUGUAAUAUGGGUUACAAUUGCUUAUUUACGAAUGUAGAUGUGUCUGUCUUUAGAAGGAGUGAUGGUUCAUUAGCCUUUAAUGGUGUACUAGACGACAAACUCUAUUUAGUUGAUUUUUUGAAAGAGGAGGUCGGUCUAGAUGCAUGCUUAAUUGCUAAGACUAGCAUGGGCUGGUUGUGGCAUCACCGUCUAGCGCAUGUUGGGAUGAAGAACCUUCACAAACUUCUGAAGGGAGAACAUGUGUUAGGUCUAACAAAUGUGUAUUUCGAAAAAGAUAGACCUUGUGCAGCUUGUCAAGCAGGUAAACAGGUGGGAAGCGCUCAUCACAACAAGAAUGUGAUGACUACAUCAAGACCUCUAGAGCUACUGCAUAUGGACCUCUUCGGACCUGUCGCCUACCUUAGCAUCGGGGGAAGUAAGUAUGGUCUUGUUGUUGAUGAUGAUUUUUCCUGCUUCACUUGGGUAUUCUUUUUGCAGGAUAAAUCAGAAACCCAAGGGACCCUCAAGCGCUUUCUAAGGCGAGUUCAAAACGAGUUUGAGCUCAAGGUGAAAAAGAUUAGAAGCGACAACGGGUCCGAGUUCAAGAACCUGCAAGUGGAGGAGUUUCUUGAGGAGGAAGGAAUCAAGCACGAGUUCUCUGCUCCCUACACACCACAACAAAAUGGUGUGGUAGAGAGGAAGAACAGGACGCUUAUAGACAUGGCGAGGACGAUGCUUGGAGAAUUCAAGACGUACGAGCGGUUUUGGUCGGAAGCUGUGAACACAGCUUGCCACGCCAUAAACCGGGUCUACCUUCAUCGCCUCCUCAAGAAGACGUCGUACGAACUACUAACUGGUAACAAACCCAACAUUUUGUAUUUUUGAGUUUUUGGGAGUAAGUGCUACAUUCUAGUGAAGAAAGGUAGGAAUUCAAAAUUUGCACCCAAAGCUAUAGAAGGAUUUUUGUUAGGUUAUGACUCAAAUACACAGGCGUAUAGAGUCUUCAACAAAUCAUCGAGUUUGGUUGAAGUCUCUAGCGAUAUUGUAUUUGAUGAAACUAAUGGCUCUCCAAGAGAGCAAGUUGAUCUUGAUGAUGUAGAUGAGGAUGAUGUUCCAACGGACGCAAUUCGCACCAUGGCGAUUGGAGAUGUGCGACCGCAGGAACACAAGGAGCAAGAUCAACCUUCUUCCUCAACGAUGGUGCACCCCCCAACUCAAGACGAUGAACAGGUUCCUCAAGAGGAGGCGUGUGAUCAAGGGGGAGCACAAGAAGACCAAGUUGAGGAGGAAGAAGUACCACGGGCCCCUCCAACUCAAGUUCGAGCGACGAUUCAAAGGAAUCAUCUCGUCGACCAGAUUUUGGGUGACAUUAGCAAGGGAGUAACCACUCGCUCUAGAUUAGCUAAUUUUUGUGAGCAUUACUCUUAUGUCUCUUCUAUUGAGCCUUUCAGGGUAGAGGAGGCCUUGCUAGAUCCGGACUGGGUGUUGGCCAUGCAGGAAGAGCUCAACAACUUCAAGCGAAAUGAAGUUUGGACACUGGUGCCACGUCCCAAGCAAAACGUUGUGGGAACCAAGUGGGUGUUCCGCAACAAACAGGACGAGCACGGGGUGGUGACAAGGAACAAGGCUCAACUUAUGGCAAAAGGUUGUUCCAAAUGGACGUGAAGAGCGCUUUCCUCAACGGGCCAAUCAAGGAGGAGGUGUACGUUGAGCAACCCCCUGGCUUUAAGGAUGAACGGUACCCCGACCACGUGUGUAAGCUCUCUAAGGCACUCUAUGGACUUAAGCAAGCCCCAAGAGCAUGGUAUGAAUGUCUUAGAGAUUUUCUAAUUGCUAAUGCGUUCAAGGUUGGGAAAGCCGAUCCAACUCUUUUUACUAAGACUUGUGAUGGUGAUCUAUUUGUGUGCCAAAUUUAUGUCGAUGACAUAAUAUUUAGUUCUACUAACCAAAAGUCUUGUGAAGAGUUUAGCAGGGUGAUGACUCAGAAAUUCGAGAUGUCGAUGAUGGGCGAGUUGAACUACUUCCUUGGGUUCCAAGUGAAGCAACUCAAGGACGGUACCUUCAUCUCUCAAACGAAGUACACACAAGACUUGCUCAAGUGUUUUGGGAUGAAGGACGCCAAGCCCGCAAAGACUCCAAUGGGAACCGACGGUCAUGUCGACCUCAACAAGGGAGGUAAGUCCGUUGAUCAAAAGGCAUACCGGUCUAUGAUAGGGUCUUUACUUUAUUUAUGUGCUAGUAGACCGGAUAUUAUGCUUAGCGUAUGCAUGUGUGCUAGAUUUCAAUCCGACCCAAGGGAAUGUCACCUUGUGGCCGUUAAGAGAAUUCUUAGAUAUCUAGUUGCUACGCCUUGCUUCGGGAUCUGGUAUCCAAAGGGGUCUACCUUUGACUUAAUUGGAUAUUCAGACUCCGAUUAUGCUGGAUGUAAGGUCGAUAGGAAGAGUACAUCAGGGAAGUGCCAAUUCCUAGGAAGCUCCCUGGUGUUGUGGAGUUCUAAGAAACAAACCUCCGUUGCCCUAUCCACCGCUGAGGCCGAGUACGUUGCCGCAGGACAGUGUUGCGCGCAACUACUUUGGAUGAGGCAAACCCUCUGGGACUUUGGCUACAAUCUGAGCAAAGUCCCACUCCUAUGUGACAAUGAGAGUGCAAUCUGCAUGGCGGACAAUCCUGUUGAACACAGCCGCACAAAGCACAUAGACAUCCAGCAUCACUUUUUGGGAGACCACCAGCAAAAGGGAGAUAUCGAAGUGUUCUAUGUAAGCACCAAGAACCAGCUAGCCGAUAUCUUUACCAAGCCUUUAGAUGAGAAGACCUUUUGCAGGCUGCGUAGUGAGCUAAAUGUCUUAGAUUCGCGUAACUUGGAUUGAUAUAGAGCAUACAUGUGUUUUAUGCCUUUGAUCAUGUUCCUUAUGCAUUUUAUUGCUUAUUUAUGGUGCUCAAGUUGUGCAAGGGAUCCCCGGACCUCACAAGUCCAUGUGUGAAUGAUGCACAUACUUAGGGGGAGAAAUGCUACAACUUGACCCUUUGAGACUAACCAUGCGCUUGAGUUUUUCUUAAAUUAGUCUCAAAGGAGGAUUGAAAGGGAAAAGGUGAACUUGGACAAUGCAAGACUUCCACUGCACUCCGAUGAGAGGGUAAUGUACUCCAAGUUCAUCUCUGUGCUCUUAUUGCCUUUCUACUCUUAAUUGAAGAUUUUGGUGAGGCAAUGAGGUUUAAGGGCCAAUAAUGAUCCCGUUUUGGUGCUUAAUGCCAAAGGGGGAGAAAUUGAGGCCAAAGCAAGAAAUGGAUCAGCUACCACUUGAGAAUUUUGAAAAUAGUAAAGUUAGAGUUUUUGUUUUGUCAAAAUACUCUUAUUGUCUCUUAUUAUCAAAAGUUGGUCUCUUGUGGGGAGAAUGGUUGAUUAUGGGAAAAAGGGGGAGUUUUUGAAUUUUUGAUCAAUUUCUCUUGGAAUACCUCUCUCUAUGCCUCAACAAGUGACUUUGUCUUAGAGAUAGGAAAUUGAGUUUGAUUUGCAAAAACCAACCAAGUGGUGGCAAAGACUGAUCCAAAUAUGCCAAAUUUGAAUAAAAAAACAAAUUUUUGUUCUCAUUUGCAUUGAUGUUGCACUUCUUUAGUUGCUUUUUGUUGUGUUGGCAUAAAUCACCAAAAAGGGGGAGAUUGAAAGGGAAAUGUGCCCUUGGGCCAUUUCUAUAAGAUUUUGGUGAUUAAGUGCUCAACACAAAUGCUUUGAGUAAUAUUUGUGCCAAAGACUCAAGAAGUGCAAAUCAAGAUUAAAGGUAUGUUUCUAGACUUAGUACAUUGUUUUGAAGACUAAUGUAUUGUGUCUAAGUGCUAGAAACAGGAGAAAUCACUUUGGAGAUAAGUUGGCUGUGUUCAGCCAAAAGGCUGCUCGGUCUGGGUGCACCGAACUGUCCGGUGGUGCACCAGACAGUGUCCGGUGGUGCAGGACCAGACCCGAUGAACAACCUACUCUCGGGUCUCGACGGUGGCGUACGGCUAUAAAUCACCGGACUGUCCGGUGAGUCGUCUGUGGCGAAGUCGCCGCUCUCGGGAAACAGUCAACAGCGUACGGCUAAAAUUCACCGGACUGUCUGGUGGUGCACCGGACUGUCCGGUGAGCCACCGACUACGCCAACGGUCGGCCGCACAAUCCGCGCAUGACGCGUGGCCGAGCCAAUGGUCGGAUGGGGGCACCGGACUGUCCGGUGUGCACCGGACAGUGUCUGGUGCGCCAACGGCUCCAAAUCUUCAACGGUCGGCUAGGCCAAUUUAGGAAAGCAAUCUGCACCAGACAACGAACUGUGGAUGCCCGGUGGUGCACCAGAUUGUCCGGUGCGCCACCCGACAGAAGGCAAGAAUUGCCUUCCUGGAUUGCUUCCAACAGCUCCUAGCUGCCUUGGGGCUAUAAAAGGGACCCCUAGGCGCAUGGAGGAGUACACCAAGCAUUAUUUGAUCAUCCCUAAGCACCAAGACUCCAUCCUAGCGCAUUUGAUUCGUUGUGAUAGCAAUUUGAGCUCCUUCUGAGUCAAGAACUCCGUGUGUGAACUUUGAGCUCAAGUUGUUGGCUAGUGUGCGUGUUUGUGCUCUUGCUUUGAGUCUUGUGUGUGUUGCUUUUCCCACCCUUACUUCUGUGCUUCUUUGUGAUCAUCAAAUUGUAAGGGCGAGAGGCUCCAAGUUGUGGAGAUUCCUCGCGAACGGGAUAUAGUGAAACAAAGAGAAACACCGUGGUAUUCAAGUGGGUCUUUGGACCGCUUGAAAGGGGUUGAGUGCAACCCUCGUCCAUUGGGAUGCCACAACGUGGAGGUAGACAAGUGUUGUACUUGUCGAACCACGGGAUAACUCGCGUGUCUUUUGUGAUUGCUUUUCUAUGAUACUUGUGUUCACAAGAGCUCGCUAUUUAGUCUACUAACUCUUAAUCAAGUUUUGUGGCUUUAAGUUUCAAGUUUUUACAGGAUCACCUAUUCACCCCCUCUAGGUGCUGUCAACCAUUGGUUGUGUUCUCUCCCUUGUCGGUUACAAUCAUUGCUUUAGCUCCAUCCUUUACUAUGCUCACGCCCCCAUCCUGCAUGUUUUAUCGCUCCCCUUGUCUUUUGAUGGCCUUAAAGUAGAUUCCCCUUGGUAAGGAAAGACCACCAUUUAAUUAAAAUGAACUUAUAUCAACGAGAUGUUUGUUGCCGAAUGCUUGUGAUGUUUGUCUUUGUGGUAUGACUGAUUUGCUUCUUUGUGAUGAGUGUUGAUGUGUUGCGGCCCUUGGUCCGCAAUGGCAUCAGUUCACUAAGUGAGUGCCAUAUAUUUAAGUAGUUGGGUUCUCCCCCUGCUCUCUCUAAUCUGUCUAUACUUACCUUUUCUCGCUAUUCUUUCCUCUUGCACCUGUCCAUUUGGCAACCUCCAACUCCUCCAAAUCAGUCUAGAUCAGAGUCGACAGCAUCUUCACCAAGUGCAUAUCAACGCUCCUGUUAAGGGGGUUAGCCGCUAACCCCAAUGAAGACAAUGAGAUCAACAUCAACCAACAAGAUCGGAGUGGCGCAGCAGAAGCGAGUGUGGGUCCUAACCCACAGGUCCAGGAGAUCCUCAAGAAUUGCAUCAAUCGGUCUCAAGCAUCUGAAGGUCAAAGGAGCCAGUCCACAAGUUAAGCUUGUAGAGCUAAAGUCAACCAAAGAAAGCUGUGACCAACCGAUGAACUAAUUUCAUUUUCUUGCUAGCCUCUUCUUGAAUCUCGAGGGCGAGAUUCUUUUAAGGGGGUUAGAUUUGUAACGCCCUGAAUUUGGGGGUAUAAAAUUUCUUUUCUAAUAUCCACCAAAUUCAGGUGUUACUCUCUCAGUUCUUCGCUUUCCUUUCUUUUUUUCCUAAAAAUGGAGAAUUAUUUUUUUAUAAUAGCGUAAACCUUGUGGAAUGAGCCCUAGAGGCACUUUGGUUGUUGCAUUCAUGCCAAAGCAUAUUUCUUUGUCUGAUGUCGUGUUUAAUCGCGUGUUCGUCUCGUCCCGGUUCGGAUUUCGAUUCGCGAUCAAAAUUUUGAUUGGUGUUCGACCCGCGGAGUGACCAAGCCCGGCCCAGUCCGGCCCGCGUGCCCCUGGUGCCCCUUGCCCUACCCAUGCGCGCGCCCCCUCCCCCUAAUCCUGUUGUCUCAUUUGAUUUUCUCCUGCGCAGUAACUUCCCUCUCCCACCUCUCUCUCUCCCCGUGGUGCCCUAGGGUUUGGAGUCGAGAUCGCCGGAAUUUGGAUCCCCGGAGGUGAGUUUUCCCCUCCCCUUCCCUUCUCUCUCCCUCCUCCCCCUCCCUUCUUCUUCCCCUGGACGCUCCCCUCCCCUGUCCUCGUCGUGCGCGCCCCCUGGCGGGUCCCGCCCUGUCGUGCCCCCUCCCCAUCCCAUGCCCUGCGCGCUGGCCACUGGCGAGCCCCUCCCCCGUGAGCCGCGCCUCGGCCCCAUGCCCGCCGCGCCCCUGGCCUCGCGCCCUCCCCCCGCGCGUCGCGCCCUCCCCUGCCCCGUCGUGCGCCAUGGCGGCGGCUUGGCCGCGCCGCGUCCCGCGCCCGGCCCCGCGUCGUCCCCGCGCCCGGUGGCGGCGUCCUGCGCCAUGCCCUCCCUCCCCGCGUCGUGCCCCGGCGAGUCCCGCCCCGGCCGAGCCCCUCCUCGCGUCGCGCCCCCCGGCGAGUCCCGCCCCGGCCGAGCCCCUCCCUGUGUCGCGCCCCCCCGGUUGAGCCCCUCCCCGGCCGCGCCCCUCCCUCGCGCCGCUCCCCCAGCCGCACGCCCUCUGCUGCGUCCUCACGCGCCCUGGCCACGCCCUCGGUUGCGCCCUGGCCCGCGCCCCGGCCGUGCCCUCGGCCGUGCCCCCGACCACGCCCUCGUGCGCCCCUGCCCGAGCCCGUGCCCCGACAGCCUCGCACCCCAUGCGGCUUGCACGGUUCGCGUGCCCUCGGCACGCGCAACGUGCUCUCGCGCGUGCGACCGUAGUCGCGUUUCGUUUAACCCUCGUUUAAUCCAUUUUAAUUUUGUUUAGUCAAUGUUCUGCGUUGCACGCUUCAUCGCACGACGGUCCUUUUAAAUUUAUAUUUAUUAAUGUGUUGCGUCGCGCGCUUCGUCGCGCGACGAUUCGUUUAAUUUAUAUUAAUUGCAGUGCUGCGUCGCACGCUUCGUCGCGCGACGAUUCGUUUUAAAUACAGUUCUGUUGGCGUAAGCCGUCGUGCGUUUCGUCGCACAACGCUUAACGUUUGUCUUUAAUUAAUGCAAGAAUCUUGUUGCACGCUCUGUCGCGCGGCAAGUCAUUUAUUUCUUAAUUCAAUUUAAAUGUUGUGUCGUACGUCUCGCCGUAUGACCAAUCCCUUUCGUUCAUCUUUACCUAUUUAUAGUGACUAUAUGUGGAACAUGACUUUACUUUAUGCUAAAUGUAGUGUCUAAUUUGAUACCCUUCUGUUUAAACGAAUGGUUUAAUUUAUAAUUAUGUAAAGUGAUUGCCUCUCGACCGUAGACCCGACUGUCAUUUCCUCUUUCUCUCUUAACUGUAAUUGCGAGCCCCGCGUUGAACAUCUGUUUAUUUAUUGCAUUCUAUUGUAUGGUGUAUUGUUCUUUUGGUAUUAAAUGUGUGGAAUGUAUGUUUGAACUCAUAUAGAGAACAAUCUGGUUGAAGAGGCCGAGGAACUCACAGGAGAAGCCCCUGAGCAGCAGCUGGUUGGUGGAGGCAAGUGUCCCUUGACCCAUCUAUGUCCUACUCAUUCUUAUAACUCACUCCCCGCAUUUACACACUUUAUACCUAAGGAUUGACUAGCUUUUGUUUAUCUUGUCCUUGUCUACCUAUUUUGGUUGGGUUAUUACAGUUUAGCUCUAUGCUAGUGCUUCACAUUAAUCAAUGAACAUGAUGAGAUUUAUCAAUGAUACGAUGUUUCCCUUCUUUAUUAUGAUGUUAUACUUGUGUCAUUCAAGGGGGCUCGAGCGGUUUCUUGAGUGCCUCUCCGUAAGGACCUGUUCGUUGGAUGAUCGCCCGGGAAAACAGUGCAACCAUGAGGGUGGAAUGGGAUGCCCUUAGCUGAAUAAUUAGAGGAACCGGGGUGUAGUUCGCUUAGCCGUCGUGCCGUUAAUGGGGCUCGGUGUAUGCGGCUCGUUCUACCAAGUUCGGUUCGCCCCUUGGGGAGGAGUGUGGUGCAUUUAGGAAACCUAACGGGUGGCUACAGCCCCGGGGAAUCUUUGUAAAGGCUACGUAGUGAGACCCUGCCUAUUCACCUUGGUAGUGUUUAAGGGUUUGAUCGGCCCGAGGCAAGAGGGAAUCACGACUUGUGGGUAAAGUGCGCAACCUCUGCAGAGUGUUAUGAAACUGAUAUAUCAGCCGUGCUCGUGGUUAUGAGCGGCCAAGGGAGCUCCAUUGAUUAGUGGUACUUGAUCAGAGACGUUUUGUUUUACAGGUGGCAAUGAGAUUGAUGGUUUUGGUUAUGACUAUGGUAUUGGUAAGUUGUAUUCUUUCCAUUUGGAAAGGAUACAUCGGGUUAAUAACUUGGGUUAAUGCUAAAACCUGGCUUUCUACUAGUAAAUAAUAACCUGACCAAUUAAAAGCAACUGCUUGACUUAACUCCACAUAAAGCUAGUCCACUACAGCCAAACAGGAUACUUGCUGAGUAUGUUGAUGUGUACUCACCCUUGCUCUACACACCAACCCCUCCCCCUAGGUUGUCAGCAUUGCAACCACUGCUCAGGAGAAGAUGAAGCCAUGGAAGGAGUCUUUCAGGAGUUCCAAGAUUACGACGAGUUAUAGGUGUGGGUUAGCGGCAACCCCCAGUCGGCUGCCUGUAAAGGCCGCGUGUAUCUACGUUUCUUUUCCGCACUUUGAUUAUUGUAAAGACUAUGUGGAUGUCUCAGACAUAUGAUGUAAUCGACUAUUAUACCCUCUUUUAUGUCAUUAUUUUAGCACUGUGUGAUGAUGUCCAGUUAUGUAACUGCUGUGUACGUGAAUUGCUGAUCCUGGCACGUACAUGGUUCACAUUCGGUUUGCCUUCUAAAACCGGGUGUGACACUUCCGAAGCUUCUUAAGGGUUCCUUCAGGUAGACUUCACUUCAAGUUCCACAAUCCUAACUUGAUCAUCUUGUAGUGCUUCUGAGUAGAGUCUUCUGAUAGACCAAAAAUCAGACUAGAAGAGUUGAAAAUAAAAGAGACAAGUUUUGAUAUAAAGUAAGUUUUUAUGGAGGAAAAUAUAUCAAGCUUUGAAAGACUGACUGGGUUUUCCAUUUCUAACUAAUCUAACGACCUACGGACACAUUGCUUUGAUAUCACUUCUGUCACAACCGGUUCUAAGGGGCAGAACCAAGCACAUCACAUAUAUGUGCCAGGAUCUAUUUCCAAACAUAUGUUGACGUCACAAGUAUAAUAUAUCAAAAGAACAAUGCAUAAGAGCGUAAAUAAAGAUUAUAUUAACAUAUUACACUUCGAAAAGACAUAAUGUCUUAACCUUUAUUCAUCAAAGUACAGCGAAACAAGGACAUCCAUCCAUAGAAAGAUGACUGGGGUUAUCACUAGACUAGCAUCCAUGGAGCUCAGCAUCAUAACUCCAUCUCCAAACUUCUGAUCAAAAUUUAAGCAAGGGUGAGCUCACUUAUGGUCGGGGCUCAGCAAGUGGGGGAAAAACUAAUGCAAGUUUAACAAGGUGAGACUAAGGUUGAGCAGUAAGCAUUUUAGUUGGUCAACAUUUUAUUAACAACACCUGUCUUACUAAUAAGUGUGAAUCCCAAGUAUUCCCAUUAAACAAAGGUAUAAGAGUAUAUCAAAAACACUUAAGUGAAACCACUUAAGCGAACCAUUGGCAGAUCAUCAGAUCUCGAUUUAUUUCAUCUUCAAGUUUAAUUAUCAUGUGAGGAGUACAGGCUGCUCUUAACCGUGAGCACGGCUGAUAUAUCAGUUUUACACUCUGCAGAGGUGGCGCAUCUUUACCCAUGAGUCGCGAUUCCCUUCUAGCCCGGGUUAGCUAGACCCGUAUUCACUUCCAAGGUCAAUGGCCAGGGUCUCACUACGAGGCUUCUCCCUAGAGUCCUCAUUACGCAAAUGCUGGAAAUGGUCAACUACAUAAGGUACACCUACCAUAACCAACUUAUAGUCCAGACCACAGGGUAAAAGCUUUGGGAACUAUGCCCGUAUCCAAUCUGCCUGAGCCGGUACUAUAAGCGCUUGCCAGAUGCCCCCGUUCCGGUCGACCACGACCAACACCCAACAUAAGACUUCCCUAGUUAUUUAGCCAAGACCAGAACCAUGAUAGUUCUCAUGGUAGCACUGUUUUCCUGGGUGGUCACUCCAUGUUCCAAUUAAUAUGCAAUAAUCUUGUUUAACCAUCGGGUUAACAACAAUAAUGUAAACUUACCAUUGGGAACAUUAAUAUCAUAAAUAGGAGUGACUGCAUAAAGUAAGUUGUAGCAAUAGCAUAGCUACUUGAUUAGAUCAUAAUCCCAGGUUAAACAAGGAGUAAGGUUGGAAAGGUUUGGGGUAUCUAAAUAGGUAACCCGUCAAAUUAUGCAUAUAUAUCAAGAAUAAACUUUAUUAAAUGUAUUGUUUGGGAUCAAACAGAGUAUGUAGAGGGAGCAGUCCACUUGCCUUGCUUAUUGAAAACUUGAGGUGCUUCCAUAGAAUAUAUCUUGAUUCUCAACUACUGGAUCAAUAUAUAAACAUCACAUAACAAACUAGAAGAACAAACACCACUCAAUAACAUACCACAUUCACCAUACGUAAAGCUAAAAGAAAACCUAACGAAAAGAGCGUUCACUUUUCAAAAACAUUACUCGCACGGGUUAUAAUAAAAAGGUACUCUUUAAAAAUGUGUGAUCUAUACUUUAUAAAACAACACAUGAGCUUAAAAAUAUCUUAGUUAAAAUAUAUAAAUAUUAGGUUCACCAAUUUAAUCUUUUAUAAAACGUCAUAUGUGAUAUGUCUACGAUUAAGAUGAUAAAACAAGUUAUAACAAUAUUAAACCUUUUAGAAAAGAUAUAUGUUAUAUAUCUAAGUUCAAUGCGUUAUGAAAUUAAUUUUAGAAGCAGUAUGGAGCAUAUUAUAAAUAUUGUUAACCAAUCACUUAUGACAAAUUAAGAUAUAAGUCUAAAUAGGUUUUAUGUGAAAAGAUCAUUAUUAUUAAACACCUAUUUAUGGAAAGUUAUGAUAUAUGCUUUAAUGAACUUUUAUGUAAGAGACAAUGAACAAACAACUAUAUUUUAUUUUUAUUAGAAAGUACAUGUCCUAUAUUCUUAUAUUCGAAGUCAAUAUAUAAAGUAACAUUUUAAGUUAUAUAAGAACUUAAACUCUUAUUACUUUAUUUUAUCCUUUAGGAAAAAUUAAAUGAUUCGAACAAAUUGACUAAAUGUGUUAUGAACAAGUUGACAAUAGGUUUGACUAAUGAAUUAUGAUAAAGGAUAAUUAAUCUAUUAAUUAUCUUUAAUUCUAUUGUAUAGGAACAGAUGAUCUAAUUCAUUAGAAAGGAAAUUAUGUAUAAACUAUUAUUUUAGUUUAUAAAAGCAACGACCCUUGUUAUCUUUUAAUUAAGAAAAUAUAAAUAAUCUAUUAAUUGCACAUAUAUUUAUCUUCUAUUCUUUUUUUUAUUAAGAAACAUAUGUCUACAUAUUCUUUUAAGUUUCUAUUUAAUACGGCUAUACUUAAACCUUUAUAACGAACCUUGUUAAAUAGGAUAUCUAUUAAAAGGUCAUUUUAAACUAGAAAUAAGUUUUCUAAUUCUUUAGUAAGAAACCUAUGUUUAUCAACAUACUAUUAUUUUCUUUAUUAGAAAAAUAUGAGUGCCUAGUUAAGUCAUUAUAAAUUCUACUAUUUCGGUUUUUCUCUUUUCUAAAUAGAAUUUAAAUGUAUAACUAAAAAUUCUUUAUUUAAUUCCUCUAACAUUAAUAUACUAAGAAUUAAUUGUAUAUUACUAAAUGAGACGUUUAAUAACAUAUUCAUGGUUAUUAUGAUAUAGAUAAAUAUCUUACUAAUUCUAAAUACUUAAGUGCUAUCCUUAUGAAUACUUUUAUUAUGACUAGUAACAUCUAUAUUUUCAUUUGACCGGAACUACGUGGCCUAGUAUUUCUUCUAUUUCUUCAUGCAAAUAAGUGUACACUUAAAAUACUACUAACAAUUAUCGUUCCACACAUACUAAAGUGAAAUAAACAUUUCUAGUAUAAAAACCACGAAAGUAGUGAAUAGUGACCGUGUUUAUUUUUAGAAUUAUAAAAUCAUACGCAUUUUAAAAUAUUGUCGCGGGGUUAGAUUUUGGUUACACGUAUACAUCGGAAUCUCUAAAAUCAUACACGAAUCGCCAAAUCGUAUCAAUAUUACAACAAUAAAUCGCAAGAUUCAAAACAUGAUUUAGAAAAUAAAUCAGUGGGUUGUCUUCGACCUUGGGUGAACGGACGACGGCGAACGAGCUCGAGCGUGUGUCUAGGCGAAGGGUUGGACAUGGUUCAGGCACGUCUUCGGUGAGGACGACGGCGAGCGGUGGUGCUGCUGCGCGUGCGGGCAGGGGUUCUUGACGUCGGACGGGGCUCCGACGAGGUGCUGUGCGGACGGAGCUCUGGUGGGGAACGCGGACGGUGAGCACGAGCUCCGGCGAGGGAGAGAACGAUAGGGAGUGAGAGAGGGAGCUCGGGCAGGGAGAGGGAGAGGGCUCGGCGUCCAAUUUAUAGAGAAGGGAGGGAGAGAGAGAGAGUCGCCGGUCGGUUUCAAGGCUACCAUCAACGCCGUCCAUGAAGAGAGGGAUUAAUGGGGAGAAGAAACGGUCGCAAUGAAGUUCCAUAAUGCGGCAGAGAAACGGACGGCGCGGGCGGCGGUUUCCUGGCGUGCGGGCGUGGUGCUUCGGUCGGGUCGCGGUCGCUGCACGGCGCGGAGGAGCGCGCGCAUGGCGGGUCGCGUGCUGGUGCGUGGCAGGGGCACGCCUGGGCGUGCAGGCUCGGUCGCGGCUUCUGGCGCGGGGCACUGCGCGGUCGAGGACGCGGUGGAGCAGGGCGGCUCGGCCGCUUGGGCGGUGUUCCUGGCGGCUAGGGCGCUGGUCGACGCGGCCAAGAGAGCAGGGAGAGGAGAGCAGGGGAAGGAGAGAAGAAGGUGGGGCCCGCGUGCAGAAAAGAAGAAAAAAAAUGUCCCUAGCGGCGGCGGCUGUGCAGGGAGCCAGGGGCGGGGCACGCGGCAGCUUAGGGUUAGGUGUUGGGCCUAAUGGGCCAAACGGUUAGGUUAGGUUUUGGUUUUUUCUUUUUUUUCUAUUUCUUUUUGUAAAUUCGAAUUAUAUUUUUAAAUAGCCCUAAAUUUUAUAAUAAUCACAACAAAACUAUUUAUAAAUAAAAUAUUUAUUUUUGGACUAAUAAUUAUUAUAUUACUUAUUUGGAUUUUUUUUAACAAGAAGUGCUAUUCCAUAUCCAACAUCAAUUAUGAGAAAUCAAAAAUCAUUCCAAAGAUAAACACUUAAAAGAAAAUUAAUUACCAUAAAUAUCAUUAAUAACCAAAUGUAUUAUUUUUAUUUGAAGACUUUUAUAGUGUUAUAGUUGGCGGUCUAGUCUUCGGAUUGAUUGCCACUAGUGUGUGUUUUUAAACUCUGUUGUGUUGGGCUGUGUGCUCUUAUGGGCAGAGGCCGGAAGUGACUUUCAAGGACUUGUAUCAUCUCGAUGUACUGUUCUUGAAUGAAUAAAAAUCCUUCCCUUUUGAAAAAAUGGAUAGUUCACUGAGAUGUCAGUCUGCAGUUAUCCAGCACUCAUAAACACUAAGGUGUAGGCAACCCCUAAAAUGGAGCAUUUGUUUGUUUAGUAAGAAGUGUAAAUCUGGAGAAAUGAUAUGCAUCUAGUCCAACGCCUGUCUUGCUGUUGUGUGCAAUUGUUGCAUCGAUAAUUUUUUCACCUCUUGUUUCAGCAGAUCAGCUGUGGUCUGUGUGAGUUCUUGGUGUACUUGUAAAAGUUCAAUAGUGAGCUAUCUUAGGCCGGAUAACUAUCGUUAGCUAUCUUAGGCCGGCACCGUCGCAGGUUGUUAUGAUAUUACAAACGCAUAUGCUUAUCUAAGUAAUAUAUUUAUACUAUACUUAAAGCACCAGUUUCAACGGUCGUCAUACGUCAUUUUUUUACAAAUAACCCCUUACAACUAUUUCAAAUUAAUCCGUUGCACGUCUAUAGAUGCCAAACGACACCCAACACGGGCUAGAUGCACGCGGGCCACAACUAUGGCACAGGCACAUCAUGCCGGCCUGCUAACUGUGUCGGGCCAGCCCGUUAGACCGUCGAUCCAUUUAAUUAAAUCAGUGUAACGAUGCCCGACACGGGCUAGAUGCACGCGAGCCACAACUAUGGCACAAGCACGUUAUGCCGGCCUGCUAACUGUGUCGGGCCAGUCCGUUAGCCCGUCGAUCCAUUUGAUUAAAUCUGCGUAAAAUGUUAAAAAUGGUGUAGGAGGUGGGGUUCGAACCCAUGCCCUGAUGGAAGGGCGUGAGACACUGGGUGAAACUGUCUAACUAAUAAAACAUCACGCUAAGAUGUUUUUAAUAUUGAAUAUAAAUUGUAUAUAGGUAUAUAGGUUUUUUUUGUAAAAUAAAAAAAUAAUUGUGUCGGGCCGGGCCAGCACUAUGGGCAGAGGCUACAGCCCAAGCACGACACGACGUUCUUUGCUCUUGCAAGCAUUAGGUCGUUUCUGAGACCACAUUGGCGCAAUGGAGUACAUAGUGUUUGAGGUUGCUGAAUUGGAUGGAGCAGCAAUGAUUUGUCACACUAACAGCAAAAUGAAAGGUUAUUUGUUGGUUUUAAACGUUAGUAAUUGCUACGAAGUAGCGUAAUUUAUAUGGAGCGCAUCCAGUUUUUAUUGAUGCAUGACUUUAGCAAUGACUCCAUAGUUUGAUCUAUCUUUUUUAUAAAUUUGACUUCAUGGAAACUUAUUUUAUAAACUUGAUCUCACAAACUUUCUCUUAUUUGGUCUCUGUAUGAUAGAAUUAUGUCAUUUUAUAAUCUCUGUUCAUUCAGUCAAUCGUUGUGAACUCUCUUCUAAUCGCUCACUUAAUUGGUCGUGUUGUACCAAGACAUAUUUGCACAGAGAGACAAUAACAUCGGUUAGCCAAAAUCAAAAAAUAUAUUAUACAGAGAGCGGAGACAAUCAAUAAAAAAUUUUGAAUUUUUUUUUAUGGAUAGUUUACGUAGGUAUUAUUAUAAGCCGUCGCAACGCACGGGCAAUCGAACAGUAAUACAUAUACCAGCAGUACCGGCCAUCGAUCAGAUCAGUGCAAGCAAUGCAUGCCUACCUAGUUUUUAGCGGCACGGUCGCAGGUUGUUAUGAUAUUACAAACGCAUGCUUAUCUAAUUAAUAGAUCGGACUUGAUAUUACAAACACGCAUAGGCAUGCAUGUUCAGAUCAAACUAGAUACAUAUACCAGCAGUACCGGCAAUCGAUCAGUGCAAGCAAUGCAUGCCUGCCUACCUAGUUUUUAGCGGCCAUCGAUCAGUGCAUGCAAUCGGUACCUCUAUUUACGUUUUACCGGCCAUCAGUGCAUGCAUGCAAAGGGAUCAGGCGCCUGUUCAAGCGGAUCGGAAACGAAGAGACCUAAUCCUCAUCCAAUUCCAUCGAUCAUCUAUCUCAUCACCAUAUGUAUAUAUAUAUAUAUAUAUCUAUCUAUCUAUCUACAGAGAUGAGACCUAGCAGCGCAUCUUCUCCUCGACCUGUAUCGACACGUUCAGUCCACCACCAUCAUAUCCUUAAGGGAAGAGAUCAUCAUAUUCUCAAGGGAAGGGAAGAGAUGGAGCAGCUACCUGACGAUAUGCUUGUGGAAAUCCUGAGCCGCCUCCCGCCCAGCAGCCUAGCGGCGUCACGCUGCGUCUCCAAGCACUUGUGCUCCAUCGUGGACGCCCGACGUCUCCUGCGCACCGGCCACCUCCUUCCUCUCCGCCUCGACGCCUUCUACUGCAUCAGCCUGGCCUCGGUCGAUCGGGAGACAUAUCUUUUCGCACGGCCAUCGGUAGCGCGUCGGAUCCCCGGCGCCUGCCUUGACUUCAGGGUAGAUCUUGAGGUUGUGGAUCACUGCAACGGUCUACUGUUGCUGUGUGACAUGGUUUUCAGGUUGCUGAACCCUGCCACACGGCAAUCGGCAGCCCUGCCUAAAGCCCCGGAUCCAUCCAUUGAGAACAUGCUUGGGGUCGCCACAGUUUGGGCCGGGACAGCGCCGCACCGCCCCCCAUUUUACUUGUUUACAGACUUUAAUCUUGUGUACGACCCCAUGGCCGAGUCGCCGGAGCAUUUCGAGGUAUUUCUGAUCCCCGUGUUAUUGUGCGGCCAUAGUGGUUUGAUGUCCGACAAUAUCACCAUCAACCUUGAGGAGCAAGAAUGGCCGCCAUCGACAUACAGAACCCACGUCUUCUCGUCGAGGAGCUGGAGGUGGGAGGAGAGGUCCUGGGUCCGCCAAGGGGAGCCUACGGGGACCAUGGCCGAUAUGCUGCGAUCUGAGCAUGGUUGGAAUCACAAGGCUGUUUAUUUUCGAGGAGCACUCUAUGUGCAUUAUUCAAAUGAAUCUGUCAUGAGGUAUCCAUGACGUUUCAUCAUCUACUACCACUAUUACUAUUACUACUACUAUUAUUAUUAUUAUUAUUAUUAUUAUUAUUAUUAUUAUUAUUAUUAUUAUUAUUAUUAUUAUUGUUGUUGUUGUUGUUGUUGUUGUUGUUAAAUAAAUAAAUUUGGUAUCAUUAAUUGCAGGAUAUCCAUAUCCAAGGACAGGAAUACGUAUCAAAUGAUGAGACUUCCAGCAAUACGGAGCAAACAGAUAGUUAAGCGUGCUACCUUUUACUUGGGAAAAUCUGAGAAAGGAGUAUAUUGUGCGUUGUUUUAUUGGGCCCAGGAUGACAGCGACCCCCAGUUUCGAGUCUGGUCUCUUAUGGAGGAAGAGAUGAAUGGACGUGAUGGACAAAUUCAUAUGAAGUGGUUGAUAAAGACUAGCAUCAGCCUUAAACCCCUGCUGGCACAACUUCAUCAUUGUGGUCACGACUUGACUCCAGAUGAAUGGAGGAUCAUCUAUAACCGCCAUGACCGUGACCUUGUUGGUUCGUCUGCACAAGAUGAUAUUGAUGAUGAAUGGGACUUUGAAAAUGCUCAUGAGAUUGUCCUUGAAGCACCUAACAAUGUUAAUGACUGGUACCCUAUAGAUUUUCUCGUAUUUCAUCCUUACAAGGAGAUUGUCUUCUUUUCCUUAUCAUGGAAGACAAUAUCUUAUAAUUUGAAUACCACAAAGGUUCGACAGCUGGGCUGCGCAGCUCAUAUACCGGUGGGCAUAAAAACUUGUUUUCCAUACACACCCUGCUACCUGACGAUGGAGAAAUUAACUAACAGUUGAUCGUCCUCCGCCCACCACUUUUGAUGAUGAUUAGUGCUUAUAAUGACUUACUUAACUAGAGAGUGCACAUCUUUCUUCCACUUUACAUUAUAUUUGUCAGAUUAUCUUUAAUUUUGGCAAUACAUAUUUUACUUCCGUUUUUUUUAAAAAGAGAUGAUAUUAUACUAGUCAAAUUGAAUGGACAUUGUUUUAAUUGAUCGCACAUGCACGAAGGUGUCUUGCUCGACAAAGCACGACGAGAGCAAGCCAUGCCAUCAGGUGGCCGGCACAUCCAUUGCUGUUGCCGGUGCCCAACAACAUACCACCACCAAGCUGCUCUGGCUGCUCUGGGCUGAGAAGGAGUACACGAGCCCGGACCGAUAACGAAGAUCAUCGCUACUCUGUUAACAAAGAUCAUACUGUCGUAGAUCGCCCUUCACUCUGCGAUUAAUUAGUCUUUGUUCGCGACGCGACUGUUCGUGAGUCUGUGUGUUCACAACCAUCACCAACGACUAGCCAGUCAACCUCCUCGAUCAGUGUCGUAGAUGCCACAGUGGCAAGAGCAAGGCGCGCCCUCGAGCGCCUAUUCCGGGUGCUCGACAAUAGGAGGUGUCACCAUCUCUCAAGUGACCAAUUAAUAACUUUUUAUCACCGUCAUUUGCGGUUCUUCUCCCUAGCUUCAUGCCUUGACCUCACCUCAUGUAGUCAUUUCCAUCUUGUUGUGUGGGAUUGGAUUUAGGAUAUAAAAAAAACUUGGCCGGGAGAGAAAGAACAUCCUUCCGGUAUCAUAUUAAAAAAGAGAUUAAAACAUGGUCCUGGUCAAGAAAACACCUGAAUCUUUGCCCCUAUCACUAACGGGUCGAUCAACUGCCCACUCUGCAACGGUCCAGCCGGAGAGUGGCACGCUGGAUUCGAUACGCUAGAUGCCCUUUCACGUUGGGUUUAGGGUAUAACCAAGCUAUAUCUUGGGCUGCCAAAUUCCUUAAGCAAGGCCACUGGUUGGGUCCCAAGUCGUUUAAUAAUUUUCGAAAUCCGUUUCGUUAACCAAAAUUUGGCUUUUAUAUUUUCAAAUUAUAACCCGAAAUAUAAAAAAACCGGUCCAGUAUGUGUAUACUAGACAAUACAAAAAAUAGUAAAAUUUACCAAAACCCGCUACUUCCCUCUCGAGAAGUUCAUCCCUUGUCCCAAAUGUUGGGUCAGGGUCGAAAAAUAAUCCAGUGAAAGAAAAAAAAUCCAAAAUAUAAUAAAAAAAGUUCUAGAAGGAUAAUAGACUAGUAGGUAUUUUCGGGGACAAGUGUCAGGUCGCCUAAAGAAAUUAUUUAAAAAUAAUAAUAUGAGAUUUUUUUGAGAAAACAUGUGAAUCUAUCCCUUGAUAGGUGUCAAACAAACUUUUUAUGAUUAUUUUUCACACACAUGUUUUCUGCAUGAUUCAAACGUAUGACCUCCCUCGCUGCUACGGUUGGGCAAAAAAACCCGAGACAACACCAAACCCAAAUAUUCUAAAACCGAAUCUGAACAAACCGAAAUAUCGGUUCUCGGUUCCCUAUUCAGUUCUCAGUUGAUAGAAACCGAUAUUUUGUUUGGUUCUUUGGUUAUAGACCUCGGUUACUCGAACAACCUAAUAGUAUGUAGAUUCGACCCACAACAUGACAGCCCAAAGCCCACUCAACCUCAUUACCCUCGUAUGUGUAAGGGGUUGUUUGUUUGGGAUUAUAAUAUGUCCAGAUUAUAUAUUCUAACUUUGUUUGGGAUUAUAAUGGACAGAUUAUAUAUUCUAACCAUUAGUUUAAAAUAAGUUAGAAUAUAUAAUCUGUACAGAUUAUAAUUCCAAACAAAUAGACCCUAAGGCUGUCUCCAGCAACGUCCCCUAAAUUUGAUCCCCUAAAGGAAUAUUCUUUGUCCUUUACAUCACUCUCUAAAAGAUUCUGUACUCUAUAUCUUCUUCAUCUCCAGCAAUAUCCCCUAAAUUCCAUCCUCUAUAUCAACAGUGUACUAGAUUUGACAUUCUAUAUUAUUUUUUACUACUCGUCACCACGUGAGCGUACAGACACAAAAAAGUGUACAGUGUAUAGAGCACCAUUACCGGAAUCGCGUUCUUUGCCGAGUGUCUAAGACACUCGGCAAAGGCUAUUUUACACUUGGCAAAUAUUUCAUCGGCAAAGGGUUUUUUACCGAGUACUUUUUUCGGACACUCGACAAAGACUUUGUCAAAAAGCACUCGGCAAAGAAAAACACUCAACAAAUUAAGAAUCGAAAAAAUAAAAAAAACAGCAAAACAUUUUUUAAAUUUUAGGAACAACUUUCCAACCCUACCCUACUAUUUUACCUUACCCAUUGCCCUAUCAUUUUUCACUAUUAUUUUGAAUCAAACUUUUAUGUUUUGUAAAUAGUGAGAUUCGAACUCGCAACCUCUCUCUCGCGUAUACCCUCCUAUACCACUACACUACUACACCAAUUAUGUCUAUAUUACGUUUUCAUUCCCCAUGUACUAUAACAAAUCGAGAGUAAUUUGAUUAUUUAAGGCACUAAAUGAGUUCAUUUAAAAACGUGACCAACUAUAAAGUUGCAUAACUUUUUGAGAUCUACAAGUUUUAUUUUAAUAGUUUCUACAUCCGAGACCGUUUACAAAAUUUGAAUUUUAAAUUUGAAAACUUCACACGAAAUUUUCAAUGAUAAGAUGAUUUCAAAUCAAAAAAUUGUCAACUACAAAGUUUAAUUACAUUUCAAGACCUACAACUUUUAUUUUGGUGGUUUUUCCAUUCGAGAUAAUUUGAAAAAUUCAAAUUUCAAAAUUCAAACAUAGUUUUGCAUAACAAGAUGAUUUCAAACCAAAACAUUGUCAACUACAAAGUUUCAAACUCUUCAAUACCUACAAUUUUCAUGUUGGUGGUUUUUUAUUUCGAAGUUGUUUUCAAAAUUCAAAUUUUAAAUUUUUUAAAUUCAGACGUAGUUUUCGUUGACAAUAUGACUUCAAAUGAAAAAGUUGUCAACUAUAAACUUCUAUAACUUCUCAAGAUCUACAAAGUUUAUUUUGGUUGCUUGGUCAUUUGUUUAUAUCACAUGAUGAAUCUAACAAUAUGCACAAAUUCUAUACGUCUCACUCGUAGUUUCAUAAACUACGAGAGAGAUAUAGGUUUUAUGAACAAAUUUAUUUUUAUUUUGUCAUAUGAAAAAAUGUUCAAUAUAUAAAUUAUACAUCAUGUUGAGUUAUACAAAUUUGUAGUUGAAAACUUUUUCAUUUGAGUUAAUUUACUACUUUAAAAUGUGAUUUUUAAAUUGUCUUUGCCUAGUGUUGGAGCAAAAACACUCGACAAAGAGCUCUUUGCCGAGUGUUGUAUUUGUGACACUCGGCAAAGAGCCCUUUGCCAAGUGUCAAAAAAAGACACUCGGCAAAGAAACUCUUUACCGAGUGUCAAAAAUAAAACACUCGGCAAAGAGCUUCUUUGCCGAGUGUUUUCUUUUACCGAGGGUUUUUUGCAUGGCACUCGGCAAAGAGCUACUUUGCCGAGUGUCCGAAAAAAACACUCGGCAAAGAAUAUGGCACUCGGCAAAGAGCCAAAUUCUGGUAGUGCACCCUCUACAGAUAGCGGAUGCAUGCCAUCCUCUAAAUUUUAGAGGACGCUUUAGAGUUCCUUGCUGGAGGGAUAAAGGACCUGACCGUCCCCUACAUUUAGAGUACAGGACCCUUUACAGUCUCCUGCUGGAGACAGCCUAAGUCACCCAACAUAGGGCAGCUUCUCAACCCACUCCACCAUCUCUCCAAGUUGGGUGCGGCCCCAAGAAGCGGUGACGACACAUCGCACUUGCGUGGCAGCGUGGUCAUACCGAGGAGCUGCACUUUGCUAGUCAUCGCUAAAGGCUAGACUCUCCCUCAACGGCUCGUCUCGGCAGGCUACGAUGCCUCCUCCAACACUUAGACUGUUUAACAUUGUUUGCAGAGAGAAGAUUGAAAUAGGAGAUGAGAUAGAGGAAUUGCUGGCUAGAGAUAGCCUUAGUCACCGACUGCUAGUGUCUCGCGUCCCUAAGCCCCAUUGUUGUCGACUGCCGCCUGCGACAUGCCAGCGUGCCGUGUGUAGUGUGCCCGAACCUGGUUACAUCUUACGUGCUAGCGUGGAGCAGUGCUCCCCUCUCCAUUCUCCAAUGCUCAAAGGCCACGGCUCGAAAUGGAGUUGUUGGAAUCUUUGCAAUGUAAAAGUAUGACUAGGGUACGUUGUCAAUCCUAUUAAAACCUAGUCUAAGGUACCAGAUCCCACCCAGACCAGGAUAUCACAGUUGUCUCGGUCCCGCCUGACUGUUGUUCAGGUGACAUAGUAGGUAGGAACAGUUGCCACCAACAUAAACCUCUGCUCAUGAACAGUCCAGAAAUAAAUUCUGGCACUCUGCUCAAAAAUAUUUUCUGAAUAUCCCCAAAUAUUCAAAUUUUGGAAUAUUCCAGGAAUAUUCCUUUUUCCUUUUCUUUUUCUAAUUCAUAUGAUUAUAAAAUCCAAAACUCCUCCAUCCAAACUCAGAUUUUGACAAUUCUUGUUUCUAAAUUUCUACCAAAUUAUCAUCUAUCCAACCAUGUCAUCCCUUAAGCAUGAUUCAUAUUCCAGAAAACUCCAAAAAUACUCUUGUCCCAUAUCCUGCCUAUAAUUUCCCCAUUUGAACUGAGUCAGACAAUUCCUUCACCACUAUUAUUAUAAAAAGUGAACUCUAUCGUACUAGACCACAUGUACCCAGCUAUAAAUACACCUAAUUACCCUCUCCCUCUCCACACCCAAGGAAAACCCACACGCUUAGUUACCCCGCUCUAUUGACUACACACAUAGAGUCGCUUCACCUCCAAUCCACCCUUCUGGUAAGCACCUACACUCCACCACAAGUAAUAUCACAACACUACAUGACACAGAUUCUGCCCAAGACUCUACCCAUCCAUAUAUCACCAUUCUUGACCACUAUAUUAAAAAUUUGUUGAUAUACUUGCUGGUUUGUGUGUUGGCUUGUUCUUGUCGUGUAAUUAUUGGAGCGUUCGUGUUGUCAUGUGAAGGAUAGUUCCGUGAGUCUAUGCCAGACGGUGAAGCAAGAAGCUAGUUCUGCGAGCUCUCGCCCCUUCGCCGAUUAAAGCAAAGGCAAUCUCACUAGAACCCUUUGAUGAAUAACUUACCUAUAUUUCAAACACAUCCCUCAGCCUAUUAUUUUAUGCAUGAUAUUAUUUUGCUACUAAGGGACAUGUUAAUAUGGCCACCCAGCCUUACAAAUGAUUUGAAAAAAGGUGUGGUUUUUCAAAAAAAACUUGUUUUUGAAAAAAGGGUGAACGGUUAUCACUAUCACCACCAUGAGCGGGAUGAUUAGGACUCCCUGGUUUGGGAAGGCCCUAUGGAGUUGGCUCAGCUGAGUUAGGUAUGAGCAUGAAGGAUUGUCUCGUCUUGUAUAAGGAUUGGUUUGUCAUUCUUCACUGCUUGUACUCUUAUCAAGUACAACGGCUUGAGACUAUAUGGGCAGUCGCUUGAUCCAAACUUGCAUGUCUGCACCCCAAUGUUAUGGUGGCUGGGGAGCACCGGGAGGACAAGGCAGGGGAAUGUUUUUGUCCUAGUUUGGGAAUGGAGGUGGCCUUGUUCCUUUCGAUAUAACCAUUAAGGUAAAGACGUCCAAGGGAGGAGAGAGUUUCGGUAUUCAGAUCUCACGACAGUGAGAUUGCACAAAACGGACUAGUGGGUAAAGUGUACACCUUUACACAGAGUCAAAAACCUAUUCGAAUAGUCCGUGUCCACGGUUAUGGAUGAGUUAUGGCUUGGUUUAACAAUUAGUGUUUUGUUUUCCAAAAUAUUUUGAAAAUGGUUUUUGAAAGGUCCAACGGUUGAGCCGUGAGCUAUGGUGGAUGGGAAGUCUAGUAGCUAUUUUUGGAAAUAAAAACCGGUGAGAAACUACUGAGAUUCCUGAAUUGUUUAGUCCAGGGGAUUCGGUCCUAUUUUGAAAAAAAUACUGCUCCUUUUGGUGAGGAUGUGUUUUGAAAAUAAGAUGUUUUACAAAAUAGCCCUGCAUCAAAAAUGUUUUUUCUGCAAAAUAUCAUAAGCUCAACAUACUCCAUGUAUUAUAUCUGAUUUCCCCAUUCUGUGGGUGAAGGUAGGUUGCUUGGUACGUAAGUACUCACUCUUGCUUAUUUGUUGUUUUUUAGAGAAGGAGAUCGUUGAUUGGGUAAGAGUUACUCUUGUUUCCUAACCAUACCGGUGGCUGUUGGACCCCUGAUUUGCUUUGCUACGUAUAUUGGACUGCUUGAGUCCCACUCUGAUGAUAUGUUCCGAAUUGUGGACCAACUCUUAAAGUUGAUCGUCACUUGUAUAGGUUUGUCUCGUUUAAACAGAUCUGGAACCAUCUGAUGUAUAAAUGUGUAUACUAGCCUCCUAGGACUAGUAUUUGAAUCACAUUUGAGUCCCAAAUGAUUUGGGACACUUCAUAAGAGUAUACAUAGUGCACACAGUAAUAAAGCAAAAGACAAAGAACAAAAAUAUAGUCAAGACAAGAGACACAUCACAGAGCACGCAGGACAUAGGGAUUUUUACUGAGGUUUAGUCAAUCUUGAAAUGCUUGCCUAAUCCUCGUUGGAGUUAGCCACACCUUGGCUUGGAGUAUCUUACUCUGUCCUUUGAAUUCUCAGAUAUGUCAAUGCGACACAUAGAGCCUUCCACUAUGUCGAUGUUUGUUACAACGUUGCCGCGACUGCUUACAAUCUUCUUGACAGCACUCCGACAGAGUAACAAUGCACUCAGGAUCUUGCUCUAGCUCUUAGCAGCACUUCUCCUCUCUCUAAUUAUAACUUGGCCUCUACACAAACUAGAGAGAAAUACACAAGAGAGGGAGAGCAGAAUGAUUUGCAAUGAGUCUACAAUGUAUUGUUGCACUUGGGAUUCUUGGUCUCUUGAGUAUGGACGCCUAGGGGUCCUUUUAUAGCCCUAAGGGAUCCAAUAGCCAUUGCUCCUUCCAUUUGGAAACUGCUGAAAAAACUGUCUCUGCUACGAAAUCACCAGAUAGUCUGGUGCACCAUACAACAACGAUCACCGAAUCGCCUGAUUGGCCACCUUCCUUCUUUGGACAUGGCACUGGACUGUCCAGUGCACCACUAGACAGUUGCCAUGUUAGCUAGCCGAUGCGGUUGGCGCCCGUCAUUGGAAAAGAGCCAUUGGAGGAGUGUGGUGCACACAAGACAGUCUAGAAUAAAAAUCCCGAGACCAAUGCCUUCUCGCAUGCUAUUCCAGGCAACUCACCGAACAGUCUGGUGCACACCGGACAGUCCGGUGAGCCAUAGUCUGGCUCAGUUUUAGCUCUUUUGAGCUAAACUUCUUCACCUUAUUUUGCCUUUUCUUGAGAGGUUCCCUAGCACUUAGACAAACAUAGUUAGCACUUAAUCCAAUUGAUUAAGUGUAGGGAACAAACAUCUUUUCAAAUCAUCUCCACCUUUUAUGUUUCACCUCAAAUAGAGCUCCAAAUGGUACUUUCUCUACAAACAUGAUUAGAGAGCAAAACCAACGUGUCAUAUGCAUAAUAGAAGGUGUAUGCAACAUAUUUGAGCACUCAAACCUGCAUACUUAACCUUCUUCCUCAUUUUUCUUCUUUUGGCAUGUUUGAGGUCAAUGUUGGACUCCUAAACUCCAAGUCUUCAUAACUUGGUUUAGAUUGCCAUCUAUGAGCUCCAACAUCUUGUAAAGGUCACGCAUAACAUAUCCAAACACAGGAACGACCCAAACUAAAGGUCAAGUGUACUUAGCUCAUUUGGGUUGUUUCAAGGUUCUGGCUUCGACACUAUUCCUUCUUCUUGUGACCUUAUCCUACAUCUUGAUCUUGAUCUUGAGCCUUAUGACUUACACCACAUAACCAUAGGAAUUACCUCAUUUGUUUAAGUCAUGUUCUUAAGUCGUGAUAUUCGAUGCACCAUAGCUCUUCUCAACUUGAUCAAUCCUUGACUUUUCAACUCUUCUUAUUCACCCCUGCCUUUGGGUACCUCGGCCUCCUUGACCUUCUCCUGUGCACUCUAUACCUCAAAGCUUUUUUUGUUGUGGCUUGACAAGUUGUCUCUGACUUAUGCACAUGAGUCUCACAUAAGCAAUGUACUCCUUUACUUGUGAUGUCCACAACCAUAGUUUACUCAGCCUUUGGACCAUCACAUUUGAACACUUGAGUUGAAUUCUUACAAGCUUUGCACUCAAAACUUGUUCAACACUUAAUACACCUAUUAGUCCUUUAAUUGGGUUGUCAUUCAAACACCAAAACCCAUAAGAGAACUUUCAUCACCGUGACGGUGAUGUCGAUGGCGAGGUUGUGGUGGUUGACUGGGGUCGGGGUGAGGUGCGUAGUGAUCGCAUGAAGCUAGUGAAGCUCAUGUGCUAGCUUGAUUGGGCUCUGGGCAGCUAGAGGAGGUGGUGGGGGUCUCACCGAAGUUGGGGAGGGUGGCGAUGCCUGAUGAGGACAUCCUCCACUAUUACCCGUUGGCAUAGACGUAAUUGGCCUAGUUGGGGCGACCGUGUGAGCCUCAUAAUUAUCCCACCUCGCUUAACUUGGGAGGAGGAAGCCACUUUAAAAGGGAGAGCCACCCUUCCCCCAUUUGACUAGUCUUUUGGGGCGAUUGGGCCUUUCCCUGAGUUGGGUGUGCUUAAUGAACUGUUGGGCUCCGGGCAACCCUAACUUGUUGGGCCUCGGCCAACCCCACCUGGGCUGGGUGUAUCAUCAGGAACAUCACUUCUAUACAUACAAUGAAUGGACCGAUAACACAAUGACGUGCAUGGCAGCUAACUCUCCAGGUACGUUCUACCCUAGUCAAUUGUGUUUCAGAGCUUACGCUUGGGGCCAUGGAUGAUUUGAUGAUUAGGAACCUUGGAGUGGACUAGCAAGGACAUGGAAAAGGUCAAGGUGUUGAGGAGGAGCAGCAAGGGCGCCCACAACAGAAAGGAGAUCAAGUCCGACUUGGCUGCGACUCCAUCUCGGGUUCCAGGACCAGUCUGCACUAAAAUGGACGCCUAGGAUGCAUCCGGACUCCGAUUGCGACAGACUUGAUAUGGUUGGAAAUAUAAGGAGAUUAUUAACCAACCCAACUGGUUCCACCUUAAAAUUCAUCUGGAGUCAACAGGAAUCAUCAAAACAAUUCAGUGUUCAGAUUCUAUUUUGGUGCUGCGACACCGUCUGUUGGGCCGUGUAUCGCGUCGGAGCCCAUUAGGGGCGAGUCCAGGGGUCACGCACGCCCUAAUACUCUAUUUAUUCAACAGACGCCGCCACAUUAGGUUUUGUGUUUUGCUUAGAUCAUUCUGUCAUCGAACAGUAUCGCCGUCAUCGGUUUGUGAGACCCCAUCCCGUAAUCAAUACAAUUUUGGUUGCGUUUCUUUCCUGUUCUUGCUUGUGUUCUUGAUUGCACUUGUAGGGAUAAGCCUUCAUGGCGAGGUCACUCGUGUGUCAUGGGUGAUAACCAACGGAGCCGUGGUGUAGUGAUUGCGAGGAACCGUUCGCUUGGAGCCUUGGAUCAUCAACGUCGAGAUCUCCACUCACUCAAGUUAUUGUAUCUCACGGAAGAUCGGGCCGCGUCUUCUAUCAAGUGGUAUCAGAGCUAGUGCCCAUUUUAAGAAGGUGGGAAUGAUGAGGACAUCCACCACUAUUACCCGUUGGCAAAGAC